AUUCCUUUAGAAUUCAAAAUUUGAAAUGUUCAAAUACUGUUCCUUUGAAAACAAUUCAUAAAACCCAAUCAUACAUUCAUAAUGGCAUCAUCCACCAAUAUAUUCAAAAAUAGAUUAACAAAUAAUUCUUAAUAUUUCACACCAAGUAUUCAUAUAUACAUGAUUAGACCUUGACCAUCAGCGGAGUGACUCUGGGCACGGUUGCUAACAUUUAAUGUCAUGGUAAACCUACCGAGUAAUGGAUAAGGAGGAAUACCUCGUUCUAGGAUCCAAUCACCAUUGACUCAGAAACCUAAAACAUGAAUUUUUAAAAACGUGAGCACAAACUUAGUGAGUGAACAUAGGAAGGGAACAAGCAACAUUAAGGAAUGUUUAGAAAUCACGAUGCACUUAUUUGAAAACGAUGCACUUUAGCUUAAGUCCUUAUUAAAACCCUCAAUUGAACCCUUGGUUGAAAAAUCAUGUGACGAUAGAGAAUUCAUAUUCAACAUGAAAUUGGAGAAAUGGAAAAUAUGGUAAAAACCGGCCAAAUGAUAAGCGGAACAGAAAGUUUCAUUCUUGCUGUAGCGAGAAACAGAGCAACAAGAAAUACUUCCUUUCAUCCCAAAUAAACCAUUUCACUAUAAUGCAAAUCAAUUUGGAACAUUAAAAAAAUACUCAAGGUUCAGCAAGUAGGACUCCAUAUACAUUAUAGUCACAUAUGUUAUUCAUAAAAUCUUUAUUGCAUUAAUACAUGUGAACAUAUCCAAACAUAUAUGUAUAUAUAUGUAUACAUCCACCGCCUCCCCAGCUCAUGUGCAUCCCCCCACAUUGUGCACAUCUAAUGCUGUCAUGUACAUCCCCCAACAUCGCGUACACGGGCAAUAUCAUCAUUUGCCUACCUCACCACUAUCAUUACCGGUAUGUGCAUCCCCCCACAUCGUGCACACACACGGUUAUAUCCAUUACACAAUAUUAUCUACCAAUGUACUAUACAUACAUAUAUAUAUCAACAUUAUACUGAAACAUAUGGAUUCAUCACACUAUCCAUUUCACAACAUAAAAACAUUUCAUAAGGGCUUGUUCCCAGGCUUUUUUUUUUUUGAAGAGAAUUGGAUAAAUCAUUCAAAAUAUUUGUCCAAAUACAUUCACAUCUCCAAAAGAGUUUUGAAAUGCAAGUUCACUCACCUGGCAACAACGAGAUAUUAAGUCACUAUUUGUUUGGAGGUGUCUCUAACUAUUUUCACUAGCUGGUCGCUCGUUAUUUACUUCGGCACGCCAUCACAGUUCUCUAACCUUAUCUUUGCACUUCCAAGCAAUAAUACGAACUCAAUAUUUUUAAUUACAUACGUAUACGGGUAGCACUUCAAUCAAGUAAUCCUUACUCAAAUUUAUAUUUUUCAUCCUAUCAUGAAACCAUCUUCAAUUAACUCACAUCUUAAUACAUUUUUAUCAAAAUUACUUAUAUCCAUUGCUUACGAAAUUCCUUAGAUUAUAUCACCGGCAACUUAUUUAUGAUGUCACAUGCCUACUUCAACCUUUCUAAAUAAUUUUUGUCCAAAUCCAUCGUAUAUUUCCACACAUAAUCCACAUAUAUGGCAGCAACAAUCAUUCUCACUUUCACUCGAUUAUUUCCUAGUUUACAUGCAUCAUUAUCUCUCUAACUUUUAAUACUUUGUUUCUCAAUCUUCCAUCCACACUAUUCCUUUUUCAUUUCUUUCAAACAACAUGCCAUACAAUCUUAAUAAUUUUCAACUAGCUUCGGCAAAUAAAUCCUUUCAAUAACCAUAAUUCCUCACGAUACUCAACUAACCGUAGGCUUUAAAACAUAGUGUUAAGCUUACCGUUUUCCUUUUUCACUUUGAGUCCUUCAUGUACCCAUGGGUUUAUUGGCUUACAUGUUACCAAUUUUUCUCCAAUCAAGCCAAUCUUUGCUGCCACAAGACAUUUCUCUAAGUCACUAACUUAUUUUCAAAGACUACUCAAGCCAAAAAUAAGAAUUCUUAUCGUUCCUUGCUUGAAUCACCAAAACUAAGCUUUUUCUUCCUUUCUCUCUUUUUUCUUUCUUCUCCUCCUAGGGUUUAGAUGUGCUGGAAAUUGGGGCUAAAGGCUGAAAAUUUAGUGCUCAAGAAGUUUGGAGAAGAAAGGGAAAGAAAACAUGGAAAGGAAAGUGAAGAAAACUUGAUUUCAUGGUGGAUAAAGAGAAAAUGGCAUGGAAACUUCAAGAAUGGCGUGGAGCAUGGAUGAAGAAGAAGAAAAAAAUCUGGUGGGGGAAAGGAUAAAGUUGGUCUUGGCCUAAAAAAAAUCAGAGAAAGCUUUGACCAAACUUCACAUAAAAUUACCGUUUUGCCCUUUUUGUUUCCUUCCAUUUUAAUUUAGUCCUCCUAACACUCAUUUAACUCCAAUUUCCUUCUAUUACCUUCUUUUACACAUGUACAAACAAAGUAUGAAGUUUGUACUCCAACGCGGUGUCCCCAUAAUAUUUAAAAUAUUUAUUUGCCCGUGCUAUCUUUACUUAAUAAAGACACGCGACCCCAUUAACGUCAUUUUUCUCCAAAAUGCUCUCAUUCUUCUUCUCCCCCACUUAUAUUGACCAUAUACUCAUUCUUCAUGGAAAAUUUUGACAUUGAAUAAAAUAUUAAUAUUUUAAUAUUAUUUUAUUCUAAAAAUUUCCUCUUGUCUCUUCUUAUCCCCUGGGUACCCAAAAUACCUUAUUAUGCCUCAAUUGACUUCCGAAUCACUUUUUAUCGCACAAAUUCUUCUCCUAUAAAAAUAUUAUUAUUUUCUCGUGUGCGAAAUAUUUUAUCCCAAACUAUUAUUUUUAUCUUUCAUAAUUUCUAAACAUUAUAAUUAACCUCAAUUUGCAUCCAAUAAGCUUUAUUAGUCACCAUAUCAAAGCACGGGGUAUUAUAUUAAAUUAGCAUCAAUUUGCCAUCGUCCUAUCGAUAAGGUCGUAGUGACUUCUAUACAAGAGUACGAGGUGUUACAGUCUUCCUCACUUAAAAAUAAUUUGUCCCCGAAUUCACAUCAGUGUCUGGUUAUUAAUCUCAAUCUAUAAUCAUAUUUCAUUUCCUUCUUCAUAGGGAAUUUUGAUUUAUCCACCUUGUUUACUUUCAAUUCAAAUAGAACACUUUACUAGGUUGGGGUACGUAACUGAUACCUUUUAUCAUCUUUGAAUCAAAACAACGGUACCCUUCAACAAUUGUUUUCUCUUACAACUAAGAUUCCAAGUAUGUCUUUAGCUCCAUUACAAACCUUAAACACAUCUCAAUCUCAAUCAUACCGAUUUUGAUCACAAAUCAUGCUUACUUAUGUAUACCUAAUUGCCACAUCUUUAUUUUGAUUCUUGUCAAACUUCUUGAAAUUGAUUCAUAUUAUCCCCAUACACCGCCACAUAACUUUAUGGCAUUAUAAACAUGCCCUAUUCAUUCCUAUACAUAUUUCCAACAUUAGAGGAAGUUGAAUCUUUCAAUCGUUCCCUCAUACUUCAUGCUUAUCUUGCAUUUAUGCAAUUCCAAUCUUUUUAAAUUUUCUAUUAAUUGCACGUUCAAAGGUUUACUCUUCUACUUCAUUCUUAAUUCGAUGCAAUUUACAUCAUGUGGAAAGGCAACUCUCUUGCCGAUCUUUAACUUUAAUUGUAAGCCCUCUCAUUCACCAUCAAAUUCUCUUCGUAAACUUUAAUUCUUCAUGUCUCAAAAUAUAUUAUCACUAUUAGGACUUAGAACUUUUUGAUCAUCAUUGACAAAAUUGAAUUUUAUCUUUCUUAAUCAAUUUCUCAAAAUGCUCACAUUAUAGUACCAUCACCAUUUAUUCUCCAUCCAUUACACUAUUGCCUUAUGGAGAGUCUAAUACAACUAUGUCUUAUAAUUUCAUUAAUUGUUACAUCUCAAUCAUAUUAAUCCAUCUUGAAUGGCUUAACCACAUUAUAGAUUCCAUUUCUUGAUAUUCCUUCCUUGACUAUUACUCCAAAAUUCUUCCAUAUCAUCAUAACUCAAUUUCUGAUAGAAUCCCCUAUCUUUGUAUCAUCUAUACAACUCAUCAAACAUAUUGAGUUCAAAUCUCAAAUCACUAAGAAUAAUUUUUCACUUUAGUUGGUCACAUAAUCAACUCCACAUAUACAUAUGUAAACACAUAUUUAAAUGUCAACAUUCAUCACCAUGUGUAGGGAUCCUUGUGUCAAGUGCCUUCGGACUAAAUUUCCCUUUAUUUGUUCCAAUUUGUAACCAAGAUUCAAUAUCAUAUUCUCAUAGUUCAUGUUUCCCUUUUUGCUUUUUUUAAUUUCGACAUUUCUAAUUUACAUUUCCAUUUCAUCUCUAUAAAUUAAGUUUCAUCCAUAAACAUUAGGGCAUAAUCAAUUCCAGAUUACCCUUUGGAGGUUUAAGUUACCAUUUAACUUACAUCCUACCAUAAGUAAUCUGUUAUGUAAUCCAUACGGAUUCUCAUUAUGCCUAUGCAUAACUUCACAUCAUUUAUAUGUUUAUACCCUUUUUUUUUAUCAUUUCCAAUCAUAUGCAUGAGUUUUACUGUACUAUAUAUAUCUUUUGCAUCACAUUGUUAUUAAUCACAUCUCAAUUGCUAAACGUAAUCUUCAUCAAUUUGCAAUCUAAUAUUUGUAUAUGCUUUAUAAUCUCAUUGAUCUUUCAAUAUUCAUCUUUACUUGAUCAAUGCAUUUUAUGCAACACCACAAUUCCCAAAAGUCAUCCACAUUUCUCAAUUAUCUUUUAUAUCUCUAACAUAUACAUUAUAUCCUUAUUACAUUUCAAUAUUAAUUAGUCACUUAAGACUUAGACUCAUUUGAGUCAUGCAUGCCUCAAGCAUUAUCAAAUUUCAAUUUCCACAUUUGGAGGUUUUCAUUAACCUACUUCAUUAUCUUGGUUACCUUCAAUCAUCCUUUGUACUAUUCCGUUAUACCAAUAUAACAUCAUUCUCCUUUAACCAUCAUAUGAUUAGUACUCGUAAUUGCAAAAUGUGAAACAAGAUUCUACUUAAGUACUGCUAAAUGUUAUUACAAGUAUCCACUUUCAAACUUAUAACUUCCUUUUGUAACUAAACAAUUUACUACUUGUGUACACAAAGAUUCAUAGUAGGAUUCUUCUUGAGUAUUUCCUUGUGAAUUCCCACCUUAAGCUUAUGCCUCACAACAUAUGACCACAUAACCUGUGGUUUAGCCAUUAGGCUCCUUAGCAAGUUCUAAAUACCACAUUACAUCAAUGUGUAUAUAAAACACUCCAAAGUAAUAUCAACUAUCAUUCUUGCCACAAGUAGCUUGAUACAUCGUUUUCAUAACUUUGAUGCAUUUCCAAAGCACUUAGUUACUUAUUUGUUCAUUAACCUUUCAAGCACAUUCAAUCUUGUGAGACCCUGUCAAGCUCGAUUAAAAGAUGGUACUGUACCAAGUGGUACAACUAAGUUAAAUUGAGCCUUGAACUAGUUCAAAUAGAAAUUCUAAGAGAAAUUUGAAAAUUCUAAAACCCACAUAAUGGCUUAGAAUAGUGAUUCGGAGUUCAAGGUCCAGUUUGGAGUCCAUCAAGAAAAUUGACCGAUUAGGGACAAAAUGGUUAUUUUACCAUUUGAUGAUAAAAUGGAGAUUUUUAGCCAAGAUUUGAUCACAUUUGAUCAAGAAUAAUUACAUGAAAUAUAAUUAUAAUUAUUGGAGUAUAAAAUGAUGUUUAGCAGUGAAAAAUUGUGAUUCCCGGUAUUUUUGGAGCACAAGGGCAAAAUGGUAAUUUUGCCACUAGAGGACUAAACGGGAAUUUUUAUAAAUUAAUUUUUGCCCGAUUUGGUUAAUAUUGAUCAAUAUUAGUGUUAUUUUAGAUUGAAAAGUAGAAAUUAUGUGAUUUCGGUACAUUUCGAAGCAUAAGGGCAAAAUCGUAAUUUUUCCACCCCAGGGGCAAAUCGAUAAAUUUUUCUCCCCAGCACUUGUCAAGACCAAGGGAUUUUAAUUGUGGUAGGAUUGGAUAAAUAACAGAAUAUUUGUGGUGGAAAAUUAAGAAGAAAAAGUUAAAAAGUUAAAAAACUUGGGGCAAUAAGCAUGUGACACGUGGCAUGCUUGAUUAUUUUAUUAUUUUCUAUAGAAAUCAGCCCAUUAAAUCCCCAAUUCUCUCACCAUAUUCGGCCUAGGCAACCAGCAACAAGAACAAAGGAAGAACAAAGGGAAAAACAAGAAAACCUAGGUGAAAAUUCAAAGAAAAAGUGAAGAAAUCAAGGAAACAAGCUAGGUAAGUUAGAAUUUCUUUAAUUCUCCUUGAUACCUAGCUUACCCAUGCUUUUGUUCUUGAUUUCCAUGGUUGAAUAUUGAGUUAUCAUGAUGAAUUCAAUUCUGAAAAAUGGGUAUGGAAGAGGAAUUGUUGUUGGAAUAAUUUGAUUUUAGACUAUGUUAGUGUUUAGGGAUAGUUAAGCAUGGUUAUGAACAAAAACACAAAAGAAAUAUUCAAUUUCUCUAGGGUUCCUUGUUGGUCGAACCAUGAGGGCUGAAUAUCAAUGGGGGAUUGUUUUUAUUUCAAGGAAAAUGGCUUGGAAAAUGAUGAAUUAAGGUGAAACGGUUAUGUAGAAAAAAUUUCGGUGCUAGUGCACCAAAUGACCGAAUUUUUCUAUAAGGAACUGUGAGGGUUCUAAUGCUGAAUUUGGCUUUAUUUAAAUGGUAUGUGGUAAAUUAAGGUAUUAAAGGAGAAAUGGAUUAAUUUGGAGGUGAUUUGGACACAAUCGCCAAUUAAUCAGGUGAUCAGGCGAAUUUAAUCGAUACCGCGAUUAAGUGGUAAUCGGACGUAUUUUUGCAUUUACAUAUCAAGCAUUAGUAAUUUAAAUUAGUUUAUAUCAAUUUAGGGGCAAUUUAGUAAAUUCCUUGACUUUGUUAUUUGUCAAGGUAGUGAGACGUUCGGAAAAGGCAAAGGAAUUGCGCCUGAGGACUAUUAGUCCUAGUGCACCCGGAAUCCGAAUUUUCGACACCUGUGAGUGGACUGCCUUCAAAACUUGUUUUGGGAAAUAUAAUGUAAUUGCCACCCAUUUGAAUGAAUUAUCAAGUUUUUCAUGAAAACAAGUGCCUUGGGAACAAGCUUUUGAAAAAUGGUUUUAUGUUGUAAUAUGUGAUUGCUAUGGAUUCAUGCACUAUUGUAUUAUGAUGAUAUAUAUAUAUAUAUGUGUGUGUGUGUGUGUGUGUUGUGCAUGAUGAAUGAUAUUGUAUAUAAUGACUGUAACUGUGUGUGUGCACGAGGUGGAGAAUGCACAUGCCGGUGAUGGUGGUGGUGUGAAAGAUAGAUGAUGAUAGUGCCCGCGUGCACGAUGUGGGGGGAUGUACACGAUAGCACUGAUCGUGCAUGAUGUGGGGGGAUGCACAUGAUGGUGUCGGCUAUGUGCAUGAUGUGGGGGGAUGUACAUGAGCCGGGAGUGAUUAUGAUGAUAUUGAUGUUUGUUUAUGUAAUUAUGCAUAUCUAGAUUUAUGAAAUGAAAUCUCAUGAAUGUGAUAUAUGGUUGACAUAUAUGUGAAAUUUGACACAUUGUACUUUGAGAAUUUUCAUGAGUUUUAUGUUGAUUUUGUUAGUUUAGCAAGAUGGUUUGUUGAGUGAGGGAAAAUGUUUCUCUUGUUGCUCUGUUUUCGCUGCAAUGAAAGUUAUGCUCGCUGUAGCGAGAAACUCUCGGGUUUGAGGACCUUUCACCAGAACUAGUUCUCGUUGUAGCGAAAAAACUUUAUGUUUCUGGGUAACAAUUUUGUUGCAGCGAAAUUCAUCUCACUACAGCGAAAAACUUUCUAUUUUGUCUCCUAUCUUGUCCAAUUGCUACCUUAUUUUUCAUUUCUCUACUACCAUAUCUGAGCAUGGACUUCCAACAUUUAGGACAAAAUGAGUUAAGUUUAAAAUAAGGGGUUUUUAAUAUGAAUGGAACUAAAUUGCAUUGUUUUGAAACAAGUGCAUCAUGAUUUUAAAUUCUCCCUUGUUGUUGUUGCUUGUUCCCUUCCUUGUUCACUCACUAGGUUUAUACUCACCAUUUUCAAAUUCAUGUUUUCAGAUCACGAGGCAGCCGGUAACUAGGACGAGGUGUCCUUGUAGACCUGUGUCCAUCUUUUGGUAGGUGUCUCGGCAUUCGGUAGUUGUAUAUUCAUCUGUGUCACUCCUCUGGAAGUCGAGUGUGAUUUUGUUUUGUAUAGACGAACUUAAUGUAAAUUAUUAGAAUACAUGUUGUAGACAUUGUAUGUAAAAUUUUUAAGGAGUAAUGCCAGUACGAGUUGGCAAUGUAUAUCACUAUUUUGAUUCAAAGUUAUGAAAUAUGACUUAGUGAUAUUAGAUGGAAUUAUAAGUAAGAUAAAUAAAAGGCUUGCUUGGGUUUAGUGGACUACGUCCAUUGGACCCUUGCGCCGGACAUGGCCCAAAAUUUGGGUCGUGACAAUGUUGGUAUCAGAGCCCUAAGUUUGUCUAGGUCCUAGAACUUCUUUUUGUUGGUCCAGCAGAAAGUCAGGUCUUUAUGUGGGAACUUCAGUUGUAAAGUGUGAAAUGCGGCACAUUUUACAACCAAAUGACCGCAUAAAUUCCCUAUCUUAGAAACCACAUUUUGCCUUAAGUAUGAUUAUAAUAUGUGUUUAAUAUCAAGUGUUUGUUCUUGUCUAGGUAAUAAUGCCGCCUAAGACACGAGCCGGCUCAAGACGAAUAAGGGAGCUAGAUGCUCCUAUUGAGAUGGCAGAUAGGCCGCGGGCAUCCACCCGGAGAGGCCGAGGUAGACGUAGCAGGGCCACUAGGCCGGUGAGGUCGAAUAUGCCUGUGAGUAGGCAAGAGGAGGGACAGUCCUUAGAUGAUGUAGAUAGACACCCAACUGGGGGUAUUACUAUUGAGGAUUUGGCGGCAGGCCUAUAAGGAGUUAACUGGGUUGUAGAGAUGAUGGUGACCCGUAUGGAGGAUAUACAGAGGGUAGUAGAGGGGAGACCUAUAGUACAAGAAUCUCCUAGCUCUCAAGGAUAGGCUGAUCGCCAAUAUCGUGAGGUUGAGAGGGGUCAUUUAGAGAUUUCUCUUCCCGAUUUCCUAAAGCUUAAGCCUCCAUCAUUUUCAAGGUCUGAUGCAUCAGAGAAACCCCAGGCUUUCUUGGAUAAGAUGGAAAAGAUAUGUAAAGUUUUGGGAUGCUCUAGUGUUCGGUUAGUUGAGUUAGCUGCUUUCUGAUUAGAGGAUGUGGUGCAGGAGUGGUAUAGCUCUUUGUGUAGAGGUAGACCGACGGAUGCAGUGCCAUUGGCUUUGAGUGAGUUUAGUGUAGCCUUUUUGGAUCGGUUCCUACCACUCAGUGUACAUAAUGCUAGAGCUAGAGAGUUUGAGACUUUGGUACAGACUUCGAGUAUGACGGUGUCGGAGAAUGACAUCAAGUUCACACAGUUGUCUCGGUAUGCUCCCUACCUUGUUUCUACUGAGGAGAUGAAGAUUCAGAGGUUUGUGGAUGGGUUAGUAGAGCCAUUGUUUAGGGCUGUGGCAUCUCAAGAUUUCACUACCUAUUCCGCAGCAGUAGAUUGUGCUCAGCGCAUUAAGAUGAGGACUGGUGAGAGUAGGGCUAUGAAGGAUAGAGCAAAGAGGGCCAAGACAAAGGGUUAUCAGGGUCGUAGAGAUUUCAGCAGUGGUGGUUCGUCUUCUAGUCAUCAGGGUCCACAGAGGGAUUCACGAUUAUCCCAGCAGAGGAGUGACCUACCUAGUACUAGUGUUGGGAUGGGACAGAGAACUUUCAAUGCUAGGAGGUAACAAGAUUCGAGAUAGAGUACUCAAGUUAUCCACCCUUGUAAUAUUUGUGGGAGGAGACAUAGUGGACGAUGCUUACGUAUUGCGGAAGUUUGUUAUGGGUGUGGCCAACCCGGGCACAUUAGGAGGAAUUGUCUGAUGGCUCAUUAAUCACAAGAUUCGGCACGUGGUUUCGCCCAGCCAGCUUCGUCUGCUCCUUUAGUUGCUACCUCAUCUGGUCGAGAGGCUAGUGGAUCGAGAGGUAGAGGUGCUGGUACUUCCUCUCAAGGUAGGCCAUCUGGGUCUGGACAUCAGCGUUCUGUUGGUAGAGGCCAGGAGAGGGUGUUUGUUUUAACACAGCAGGAGGCCCAAACAUCCAAUGCUGUGGUCUCAAGUAUUCUUUCAAUUUGUGAUAUGAAUGCUCGAGUCUUAUUUGAUCCUAGUGCUACCCAUUCUUUUAUCUCUCUAUGUUUUGCAUCUCGGUUGGGUAGAGAUCGUGUUGGAGAAAGGAACAAUUAGUGGUGUCUACUCCUUUAAAAGAGAUAUUUGUGGCCGAAUGAGAAUAUGAGUCAUGUGUAGUAUGAGUCAAGGAGAAGGACACUUUGGUGAAUUUGGUGGUGUUAGACACCUUAGACUUUGAUGUGAUCUUGGGGAUGGAUUGGUUAUCACCCUGUCAUGCUAGUGUGGACUGUUAUCAUAAAUUGGUUAGAUUUGAUUUCCCCGGUGAACCAUCAUUUAGUAUUCAGGGGGAUAAGAGUAAUGCUCCAACCAAUUUGAUUUUGGUCAUUUCUACCAAAAGAUUAUUACGAUAGGGUUGUAUAGAUUACUUGGCCGUGAUAAGAGAUACUAAGGCGAAGGUUGGAAAUGUAAGUCAAGUGUUGGUGGUGAAGGAGUUCGUGGAUGUAUUUCCCGAGGAGCUACCAGGUUUACCUCCUGAGCGAGAGAUUGAAUUUUGCAUAGAUUUAAUUCCUAACACUAGACCUAUAUCCAUACCCUCAUAUAGAAUGGCACCGGCAGAGCUUAAAGAGCUUAAGGAUCAAUUAGAGGAUUUGUUGGAUAAAGGCUUCAUUUGUCCUAGUGUAUCCCCAUGGGGAGCACCAGUGUUAUUUGUAAAGAAGAUGGGUCACUUAGGUUGUGCAUUGAUUAUCGACAACUUAAUAAAGUGACGGUGAAGAAUAAGCAUCCUCUCCCAAGGAUAUAUGAUUUAUUUGAUCAACUACAAAGAUCACAAUGUUUCUCUAAGAUAGAUCUGCGAUCUGGGUACCAUCAGUUGAGAAUCCGAAAUGAAGAUAUACCCAAGAUCGCAUUUUGAACAAGAUAUGGGCACUAUGAGUUCUUGGUGAUGUCAUUUGGGCUCAUGAAUUCUCCUACAGCCUUUAUGGAUUUGAUGAAUCGAGUGUUCAAGCCUUAUUUGGAUAAGUUCGUGGUAGUGUUUAUUGAUGACAUCUUGAUAUAUUCGAAUAGCCGAGAGGAGCAUGAGCAGCAUCUUAAGAUAGUGCUCCAAAUUUUGAGAGAACAUCAAUUGUAUGCCAAGUUCUCCAAGUGUGAGUUUUGGCUCGAAAGUGUUGCAUUCUUGGGGCAUGUGGUAUCUAAGGAUGGGAUACAAGUUGAUUCAAAGAAAAUUGAAGCAGUGGAAAAAUGGCCAAGGCCAACAUCAGUUACGGAGAUUAGAAGCUUUGUGGGUUUAGCUGGCUAUUAUCGUCGCUUUGUGAAGGACUUCUCCAAAAUAGUUGCCCCUUUGACUAAGCUGACACGUAAAGAUACAAAAUUUGAGUGGUCUGAUGCUUGUGAGAAUAGUUUUGAGAAGCUUAAGGCAUGUCUCACCACAGCUCCAGUGUUAAGCCUGCCGCAAGGCACAGGGGGUUACACGGUGUUUUGUGAUGCAUCGGGGGUUGGUUUAGGAUGUGUAUUGAUGCAACAUGGGAAGGUGAUUGCGUAUGCAUCUAGGCAACUUAAAAGGCAUGAGCAGAAUUACCCCAUACACGAUUUGGAAAUGGCAGCAAUCGUGUUUGCCUUAAAGAUUUGGAGACAUUACUUGUAUGGUGAGACUUGCGAGAUAUACACGGACCACAAAAGUCUGAAGUAUAUAUUUCAGCAGAGGGAUCUUAACUUACGGCAACGUAGAUGGAUGGAGUUGCUAAAGGAUUAUGAUUGUACUAUUCUUUAUCAUCCCGGUAAGGCCAAUGUAGUGGCGGAUGCCUUGAGUCGAAAAUCAAUGGGAAGCUUGGCACAUAUUUCCAUUGGUAGGAGAUCCUUGGUUAGAGAGAUCCAUAGCUUGGGAGACAUAGGUGUGCGUUUGGAAGUUGCGGAGACAAAUGCUUUGCUAGCACAUUUUAGAGUGAGGCCUAUUUUAAUGGACAGGAUUAAAGUAGCACAAAGUGAAGAUGAGUUUGUGACUAAGGCCUUAGAGGAUCCUCAGGGUAGGAAAGGAAAAAUGUUUACUAAAGGCACAGAUGGAGUGUUGAGGUAUGGAACCAGACUUUAUGUGCCUGAUGGUGACGGGUUGAGGAGAGAAAUAUUGGAGGAAGCUCACAUGGCAGCUUAUGUGGUACAUCCAGGGGCUACAAAGAUGUAUCAAGAUUUGAAAGAGGUGUAUUGGUGGGAAGGACUUAAGAGAGAUGUAGCUGAGUUUGUCUCCAAGUGCCUGGUUUGUCAGCAGGUUAAGGCCGAGCAUCAAAAGCCUGCAGGGCUACUACAGCCAUUACCAGUACCCGAGUGGAAGUGGGAACAUAUUGCUAUGGACUUUGUAACGGGUUUGCCUCGAACCAGUGGGGGAUAUGAUUCAAUUUGGAUAGUAGUGGACCGGUUAACAAAGUCAGCUCAUUUUCUUCCGGUUAAGACUACUUAUGGGGCUGCCCAAUAUGCUCGAGUUUAUGUGGAUGAGAUAGUGCGACUACAUGGUAUUCCCAUUUCUAUAGUAUCUGACAGAGGAGCUCAGUUUACUAGUAGGUUUUGGGGAAAGUUGCAAGAAGCAUUGGGCACUAAGUUGGAUUUCAGCACAGCUUUCCACCCUCAGACUGAUGGACAGUCUGAACGGACCAUACAGACAUUGGAGGAUAUGUUGAGGGCUUGUGUGAUAGACCUUGGUGUCAGGAGGGAACAAUAUCUACCUUUAGUGGAAUUUGCCUACAACAACAGUUUCCAAACUAGCAUCCAAAUGGCACCAUUUGAGGCCUUAUAUGGACGAAGAUGUAGGUCACCCAUUGGAUGGCUAGAGGUGGGAGAAAGGAAACUUUUGGGGCCUGAAUUGGUGCAGGAUGCAACCGAGAAAAUACACAUGAUCCGUCAGAGGAUGUUAACAGCACAAAGUAGACAGAAAUCAUAUGCUGAUAACCGACGGAGAGACUUGGAGUUCCAAGUAGGAGAUCAUGUAUUUUUGAAAGUUUCGCCAACUAAAGGGGUAAUGAGGUUUGGCAAGAAAGGGAAGUUAAGUCCUCGGUAUAUAGGGCCAUUCGAGAUCUUAGAAAGGGUUGGAGCGGUGGCUUAUCGUUUGGCUUUACCACCAGACCUUUCAAAUAUUCAUCCCGUGUUUCAUGUGUCCAUGCUUAGGAAGUACAACCCAGAUCCAUCACAUGUAAUACGGUAUGAAACCAUUCAGUUGCAAGAUGAUCUAACCUAUGAGGAACAACCGGUAGCUAUCCUUGAUAGGCAAGUUAAAAAGCUCCGAUCAAAGAAUGUAGCCUCAGUGAAAGUGUUGUGGCGGAAUCACACUAGCGAGGAGGUAACGUGGGAAGCUGAGGAUGAGAUGCGGACAAAGCAUCCACACCUCUUCGAUAUGUAAAGGUAAGCCACUCUACAUUGAAUUUAAAUUCGGGGACCGAAUUUUUAUUAGUGGGAGAGAAUGUGAGACCUUGUCAAGCUCGAUUAAAAGACGGUAUUAUACCGAGUGGUACAACUAGGUUAAAUUGAGCCUUGAACUAGUUCAAAUAAAAGUUCUAAGAGGAAUUUGAAAAUUCUAAAACCCACAGAAUGGCUUAGAAUAGUGUUUCGGAGUUCAAGGUCCAGUUUGGAGUCCAUCAGGAAAAUUGACCGAUUAGGGACAAAACGGUCAUUUUACCAUUUGAUGAUAAAAUGGAGAUUUUUAGCCAAGAUUUGAUCACAUUUGACCAAGAAUAAUUAUAUGAAAUAUAAUUAUGAUUAUUGGAGUAUAAAAUGAUAUUUAGCAGUGAAAAUUUGUGAUUCCCGAUAUUUUUGGAGCAAAAGGGCAAAAUGAUAAUUUUACCACUAGAGGACUAAACGGAAAUUUUUAUAAAAUGAUUUUCGCCCCAUUUGGUUAAUAUUGAUCAAUAUUAGUGUUAUUUAAGGUUGAAAAGUAGAAAUAAUGUGAUUCCGGUACAUUUCAAAAGUAUAGGGGCAAAAUCGUAAUUUUUUCACCUUGGGGGCAAAUCGGUAAAUUUUUCGCUCCGGCACUUGUCAAGACCAAGGAAUUUUAAUUGUGGUAGGAUUGGAUAAAUACCAGAAUAUUUGUGGUGGAAAAUUAAGAAGAAAAAGUCAAAAAGUUAAAAAAUUGGGCCAAUAAGCAGGUGACACGUGGCAUGCUUGAUUAUUUUAUUAUUUUCUAUAGAAAUCAUCCCAUUAAAUCCCCAAUUCUCUCAUCAUAUUCGGCCUAGACAACCAACAAUAAGAACAAAGGAAGAACAAAGGGAAAAACAAGGAAACCUAGGUGGAAAUUCAAAGAAAAAGUGAAGAAAUCAAGGAAACAAGGUAGGUAAGUUAGAAUUUCUUUAAUUCUCCUUUAUACCUAGCUUACCCAUGCUUUUGUUCUUGAUUUCCAUGGUUGAAUAUUGAGUUAUCAUGAUGAAUUCAAUUCUGAAAAUUGGGUAUGGAAGAGGAAUUGUUGUUGGAAUAAUUUGAUUUUAGACUAUGUUAGUGUUUAGAGAUAGUUAAGCCUGGUUAUGAACAAAAACACAAAAGAAAUAUUCAAUUUCUCUAGGGUUCCUUGUUGGUCGAACCAUGAGGGCUGAAUAUCAAUGGGGCAUUGUUUUUAUUUCAAGGAAAAUGGCUUGGAAAAUGAUGAAUUAAGGUGAAACGGUUAUGUAGAAAAAAAAUGACCGAAUUACGUUGGGCAGUCAACGUUGCGAUGUUGUAGCUACUGGAAAUAGGGUGGUUUCAAUGCUGUAGCUUUGGAGAGUUAGUGCUACGGUGCUGUGGCUGUUGGAAAUUUCUUUAUCGAAGCAAUUCUUCUACCUUUAAGGUUACUACAUGGAUCAUGCUCAACCAUUUGGCUUUCCUCUAGGCCUAUACCACAAUUUCCAUAACCAUGUGUAUCUUCCCUUUUGCUUAUCAUAUGCACUAUGCCAAGUCAAUAUUUUCAAACUCAUAUUAUCCUUUAACACUUAUCAUCAAAAAAUAAGUCCCACCUUAGGACAUCUUUUUCCAUAUUUUGUAAUGAAAUCACAAUAUAUAUAACACCACAAACAAAAUUAUUCACCAUUUAUAGCAUCCCACAAUUCUUAUUAUCUAUAACUAAUUGUCUUUCUUGUCUUGUAACUGAAAUAGUUUAUUGACUUUCAGUACAAAAGACCAUGAAAAUAGUUCAUCUUUAUCCACACUUUAUACUCACAAUCCUUAUUAAGUAAAAAAUUCAUCCUUCCCAAGUUCAAUAAUUUACCUCAAAUGGUCAAUAUUUGUGUAAAAUUAUCAUUCUAUAAUAUCAUGGCCCUAUGUGCCCCCCUUCUUACCAUCGAUCAUACUUUAUAAGAAACAAUUAGAAGAUUUACAUACUUCUUUGUGCGUUGCAUAACUGUUUAGGACUUACUUUCUCACUAUAGCCACUUGACCAAUGAGCUAUUGUUUCGACCCUUUUUCAUGUUUAUGAAGCAUAUAUCCAUCAACCUAACUUUCAAAUUUGCUACCAUGGCUAUAAUUGUCAUUCGACCGAAUGAAUAAGCUCUAGCGAACCUAUUAAUCAUGCUUCAUUAGCCAUUGUUAGAAGGAUUUUAAAGCUAAACACUUUAAACGAAAGGUUAGCAGGUCAAAUUACCAAAAGCUUACCUCACAUUAUUAGGCGUCAGCCUUCAUAUUCACAGUAUAGUAAUUGAUUUACAUUUAACUUAUUCAUUAAUACAACUUAUCACCAUCAUCCAUUAUAUUAACAAUAACUUCAUCAUGAUUUAGCUCCGUUCACAAGCUACCAUAAAUCAGUCUCUAAUCUAAUCUAGGCUCAAUAUUCUCAUGUCACACACAUUUUUUUUUGUUUUACUAGCAAUCCAACUUAUCAGGUAGGUUAUCUUUUUUACCAAUCACCGUCACAGUUUUGUAUUUAUAUAGGCCUUUAUCAAGGCAUCCAUUUCCUUCAAACAUCUUGCCUUCCAAUUCAUUUCUAUGUGGUUUGCUUACUAGGUGGCAUUUCUUACCUAGAUGGGAGCAACACCAAAUCAAAUCCAUAUUAUAUUUUGAAAAAAAAAAGAGGUGGCUUACUAGAUGACCAUGGUACCCAUGUAGUUUCUUGUCCGCGACUUGUGCUGUGUAGUCACAAAUGGAGGGCAAAACUCUAGACCAGACCUUAUACUCAGUUGACAGACACAAGAAUCCUAGGACUCGACUAAACCUAUGGCUCUGAUACCAAGUCUGUAACGACCGCUCCUUGAUUGCUACCGACGUCUGAGUUUUGUGGGAGAACCCACCAAGUCUCGAACAAGACUUAUUUGAAACUUUAGUUAUUACAUUAUAUUGAUGCCACCGAUCUAUGUAAUUGUUUUGAACCAUAUAACUCUUUAUAGUAUAGUUUGAACAAAAGUCAUUAUAACUCGACUUAACCUUUAUUCCUCAUAAUUGUAAAAGUACAUUAAGGUUUACAAACUCCAAAUGUACAUUGCAUUAACACUCUUUCCAAAACAAUAUACGUUAUGAAUGACUUGACCUCUAGUAGUGGAGCGACUCGGAAUAAGGUGCUAUGAGAUCCCUUUAUCUAUCCGCGGUGGACAAUAUGUGCCGAUGAAUACAUGCUAUGCCGAUCACUAUCUGCAAAAAGGGAAAUAUGGGGGUGAGUCUCACAAACUCAAUGAUCAUCGACUCUGUGAGUAAGGCGUAGAUGGGAAACAACAUAGGGACAUAAAAUUUGAAUAAUUCAAAACAUAAGAGUAUAUAUAAACAAUUUAAACUCAAAUGGAACAUUUGUGCCUUACAUAUAAACCCAAGAAUUUUAAUGUAGAAUUAUCAUUUCAAAUAAUGAAUAAAAUCAGUGGAAAUGAAAGAUUUCUGCCAUCGAAAUCAUUUAAUGUCCUUUGCUUAAAAUUAAACUAACAUAAGCACGUACGCUCCCAUGAAAUCAAGCAUUAUCAAAGCUUAUACACAAGCUCAUAAACCAUCUCAUCCUUGAGGUAUUAAACACAAAAUCAUCGUAUAAAUAGGGAGCUGCGAAAAAACUUAUAUUUCUCACCAUGGAAAAGAAUUCAUGUUUGAAAACCCAAAGAGACAUCACUGUCGAGUAGGUAAUAGUAAUAAUCAACUCGUGGACCCGCUUCCACAUAAUAACAUCUAAAAGGCCCCACUUUACAAGAUUCUCGUAUCUAUGGCAGUCUCAACGAUGUUGCCCAACAUCGGAGAAAUCAUGUGGUCGUAACCACGUAUAUCAACUUAUGACCUAGCCACGUAUAUCAUCCCAUGGCCUUGCCACGUAUAUAUAUCAUAGACCGUGGCCUAGCCAUGUCAACAGCCCCGUUGACGACCCAAAGGUUCUCUAGCUAGAGCUCACUUCUGCACAAGGGUCACACUAUCCCAAUGUGACAUUCGAUCUACUCUCGAAUCUCCAAUUUGACAAAACCAUUUUAAAGCAGAUUCGGUUCUCAAAAGCUCAUUUUAAAUCUAUUUCUGAAAUACCAAUCACGGUUACAUGAUAAACUCAUUUGUAAUACUUUAUAAUGUAAAACCUUUGCAUGAGGUUUAAGUAUCAAAUCAGCAUGGUGAAUAUAUGUAAUUUAUUCAUAAAUGCACAUCACAAAAACAAAUAAGGCACAUUUUGACAUAAACCAUGGUAAAGAGCUUGUUUCCCUAUUUCUAAAUCCCUUUACAUAUAUAGUUUACAUAUAUAAAUACAAAACCCUUCUAAAAGCAUGACAUUCACAAGUGCCUAACAUUCUACCAGCUCAUGCUUUCCACAGAUACAAUAUAACUUGAUUGCAAAUCCAUUUAAAAAUUACCUAGCAAGGCUAGCAACACAUGUUGUCCACAAUUGUACUUAACGCAAACUGGCACGUUUAUUAAUCGUAUGUCGAUAUAUAGUUUCUAGAAAUUUCAAAAUAAACACCCCCUACUCACCCCACAAUAACGGGAUGUCACUUCGCUAUUAAUUCGGGUGUGUCUCUCGCUAAUUUUACUUGUCGAUCACCUGUCACCUCCUCUGGUACACCACCACGACAAUUAUUCUUCAAUUAUCAAUUUCCUAGCAGCAAUUAAACUCAAGAUACUUAACGAUUUUUCAAUUUGGUCUAUCUCACAUUUGUUGCCCUCACUAGCUUAAUGCUUUUAUAGUUAUUAUUUGUUCUUUAGUCUCAUUGAAGAGCUAAUCAUUAUUCUAGUAGUUUAAUUCAUGCUAUAGUUAUCCUUAUUUCAAAAUUAAUCUCAUGCUCACACACAAUUACAUAUGGGUAGCAACUUUACCAAGAAUUCUCAAGUCUUUACAUGCAUCACUUUCUACCCUUUACUUUCUUCAAAACAUUUCAUUCACAUGUAACGACCUUCUCUCCAAUCGUUACCGGCAUCCGAGGCUUGCGAGUGAACCCGCCAAAUCCCAAACAAGCCUUAGUUGAGAUUCUGGACAAUUAGAUUGAACAUUCUAGUGCAUAAAUAAAUCGACUUGCAAUAUUAAUACCAUUGUUUACUUAAACCAAAUAAAUAGCUAUAAUUAAGGUGUAGCAACUAGAUACAAUAUCCACGUUUCACCAGCUUCAAGAUAGCUUCAACAUCCUACUUAGUAUUCAUUACACAACCUUAAAGUUUUAGCAAAUACAUUUCUGAUAAACUAAUAAUAAUUUUAUAAGUCUAACAGUUUUACACAACACGACCCUUAUGUAGCUGUGAGACCUUGACCUUUAUAGACUCGUAAAGGGAAGUAUACGCGAUAUCCUUGAUCAAGGGUAAUUUCGUCAUUUCCUUACCAAACCCAUAAAAGUAAGAUUUUAAACAAUAUUAUGGCCCAAGUAGGCCUAAGGCAUAAAUGAAUGAUGAAAAUAUGGGUAAAAUGACAAGGAAACAAAAAUUUUGAUGAUUUUCAUAAUAGGGGCAAAAUGGUCAUUUUUCAUCUCGAGUCAAAAUUUUUAAGUUUUCAGGAACCCGAACAUUUCUAGACCAUUAUGGACCUUGUCUUAGUGUCAAAAGAGCAAAAAGAUUGCAUAAAAGAUUGGAGGAGAAUAAGUUAAUUUGUGGAGGGGCAUUUUGGUAAUUUAAUUGGAGUGGAUAAGCUUGGGCUAUAAAUAUCUCUUUCUUCUAGCAGCUUCUUGAAUUUCCAGCAGCUUCUUCUUCUUCUCCUCUUCCCAUCUCACGUUGCUUCCAUCCUCCAUGGAAGCUUGAUAUGGAGCUUAAAAAUUUUCUCUCUCUAGCUCUAGUUCUCAUACCUUUGAGCCCUUUUGACUAGAACCCUUGUAUUCUUUCAAUCUCUCACUUUAAAACCCUUGAAAAAUCCUACUUCCAUACUUUCUCUCACUAGCUAAGUGUUUAGAGAGAGAAAGAUAAAGAAAGCCCUAUAAUAAGCUUGGGAAUUGUUGAAAAAAAUUUCAAAGUUACAAAGCUAUCAAGGUGAGUAGUAAAUUAAAAUUGAGUUUUAAGUGUUAAUAAUGUUUAGUGAUUGAUUUGUGAGUUUAUUGUUGAGAUUAUGUAUUGACUCUAAUGUGAUUAGGUAGUGAACAUAGAUAGCCAUUUAAAAUGGCAAUUGAAAGCUAGUUAAGAGAUAGCUUUUAGGGUUUAUAGUAUGUGAAUUAACAUAAUGGUGAUGUUAAUGUGAUGGUAGGUUCCAAGGAAGCCUCAUCAUCCUAAUUGGACAAUUUGGGGAAUUAGAGUCAACGAAAGGCUCAACAAUAUACCGGUGAGUGGACUUGCAUUUCAAACUUAUUUUGGGGAAUGUAAAUGAAUUUAUUCAACUUGUCUUUGAAAAUGUACCUUGGGAACAAGCCUUUGGUGAAGUGAUUUUAUAUUGUGAAAAUGUGAUAUAAAACGUAUUAUGUGUUAUCAGAAUAUGAUAAUAUGCAUGAUAUGCAUUGGGUGCUUCUUUGUAUGUUGAUGUGGACCUGGCUAUGUGCGAGUAGGAGUGCACAUAAGCUGUUGUUGACCCAGCUAUAUGCAAGUGGGAGUGCACAUAAGCCGUUGCUGACCAGGCUAUGUGCGAGUGGGAGUGUGCAUAAACCGUUGCAUAUGAAAUGAUGAUGAUGGGAGAGUGUACAUGAUGAUUGAUAUAUAUAUAUAUAUAUACAUAUAUGGUAUAUGGUUGUAAUGCAAAAAUAUGAACAUUUGACUUGUUGAAAUUUGGGAGUUUGCAUGUGUUACAUGUUGCUUUGGUUAUUUAGCAAGAUGGCUUUGUUUUAAGGGAAAAGGAAACCGUUUUCUUGAUGUUUUGAUUCUCGCUGCAGCGAGAAACUCUCGGGUUUUGAAAGGGUUGGUUAGCCAAAAAUUUGCUGUGACGAAAAUUGAUUCUCACUGCAGCGAGAAAGGUACUGUAGCUUCUUGCUGCAGCAAGAAACUUUUUGUUUUAUGACCAAAAUCUAGCUGUAGCGAAAAACUUUAUGUUUUUCACCUCAUUUUGAUUAAUUGUUGCCCUAUUUUUCACUUCUUUGCUACCAUAUUUGAGCAUGGAUUUCCAACAUUAAGGAAUAAAUGAAUUAAGCUUAAUAACAGGAAGUUUGGUGAGAAACCUUCGGCCAGUCAAGAAACCCUCGGUUAGUUGAUAAUUUAAAUCAAGUGUCACUGCAGUAAAAAUUCAUUCUUGCUACAACGUAGUUGCAACAAGAAUGCUUUUCUGCUGCAGCGAGGACCUAUUGUUUAUUUGACCUGAUUCGUAUGAAUGCUAUUAAAGUUUUCACUCUCCAAAUCCUUUAUUGAAUAUAGACCCUUUCAUAAAGUUAUUUACUCAUGCAGGGUUUACAUGAGGGGUUUUAAUAAGAACAAAAACAAAUUGCAUUGUUUUGAAAAAGACUACAUCAUGAUUUCGUUAAACAUUCCUUAUGGUAUGCUUGUUCCCUUUUUUAUUCACUCACUGGGUUUAUACUCACCGUUUUCAACUUCAUGUUUUCAGAUCACGAGGCAGCCUGUAACUAGGACAACGUGUCCUCGUAGACUUGUAUCCAUCUUUUGGUAGGUGUCUUGGUAUUCAGUAGCAGUACAUUCGUCCGAGUCCUUCCAUUGGAAGUCGAGUAUUCGUUUGAUGUGUAUAGACAAAACAAAUGUAAAUUGUUAAGAUACAUGUUGUAGAUAAUGUAUAUACACUUGUUUAGUAUGUCAGUAUGAGGUGGCAAAUGUUUAAUAUUAUUUUGAUCCUAAGUUAUGAAAUGUGACUUAGCAUUUUAUAAUGGAAUGAUGAACAUGUCAGAUUAAUAGGCUUGCUUGAGCUUAGUGACCUACAUGGAUUAGGCCCAUGCACCGAUCAUGACCCAAAAUUUGGGUCGUGACAAUAUUGGUAUCAGAGCUCUAGGUUUGUCUAGGUCCUAGGACUUCCUUUUGUUGGUCUAGUGGAGAGUCGGGUCUUUAUGUGGGAACUCUAGUUGUCAAGUGUCAACUGCGGCACAUUUUACGACCAAGUGACCUCAUAGAUUCCCUAUCUUAGAAACCACCUUUUGCCUUCAGUAUGAUUAUGAAAUGUGUUUAAUAACAGUUGUUUGCUCUUAUCUAGGUAAGAAUACCGCUUAAGACACGAGCCACCUUAAGACGGAUGGGGGAGCAAGAUGCUUCUACUGAGAUGGCAGAUAGGCUACGAGCAUCCACACGGAGGGGCCGAGGCAGAUGUGGUAGGGCCACUAGGUUGUGAGGGCAGAUACGUCUUUGAGUAGGUGAGAGGAGGCACAGUCCUCAAGUGAUGUAGAUAGACACCCAGUUUGGGUUAUUACCAUUGAGGAUUUGGCGGCAGGCCUACAGGGAGUCAAUUGAGUUGUAGAGAUGAUGGUGACUAGUAUGGAGGAUAUACAAAGGGUAGUAGAGGGGAGACCUACAGUACAAGAAUCCACUAGCUCCCAAGGAUAGGCCGAUCGCCAACAUCAUGAGGUUGAGAGGAGACAUCUAGAUAUUUCUCUUCCUGAUUUUCUCAAGCUUAAGCCUCCGUCAUUUUUAGGGACUGAUGCAUCGGAGAAACCCCAGGUUUUCUUAGAUCAGAUGGAGAAGAUUUGUAAAGCCUUGGGAUGUUCCAGUAAUUGAUCAGUCGAGUUAGCCAUUUUCUGACUAGAGGACGUGGCGUAAGAGUGGUAUAGUACUCUAUGUAGAGGUAGACCAACAGAUGCAGCACUGUUAACUUGGAGUGAGUUCAGUGCAGCUUUUUAGAUCAAUUCUUACCACUCAGUGUACGUAAUGCCCGAGCCAGGGAGUUUGAGACUUUGGUACAGACUUCGAGUAUGACGGUGUCAGAGUACGACAUCAAAUUUAUGUAGUUGGCUCGAUAUGCACCCUAUCUCGUUUCUACCGAGGAGAUGAAGAUUCAGAGGUUUGUGGAUGGGUUAGUGGAGCCAUUAUUUAGGGCUGUGGCAUCUUGAGAUUUCACUAACUAUUUUUUAGUAGUGGAUUGUGCUCAACGCAUCGAGAUGAGGACCAGUAAGAGUAGGGCUACGAGGGAUAGAGUAAAAAGGGCCAAGACAAAAGGUUAUCAAGGCCGUAGAGAUUUUAGUAGUGGCGUUUCAUUUUCUAGCCGUCAGGGUCCACAGAGGGAUUCACGAUUACCCCAGCAAAUGAGUGACUCACCUAGUGCUGGUAUUGCGACGGGACAAGAACCUUCAAUGUUGAAAGGCAGCAAGAUUCAAGGGAAGGAAGUCAACUUAUCCAUCCUUGCCAUACUUGUGGGGGACGGCAUAAAGAAAGAUGCCUUCGUGCUACGGGAGUUUGUUUUAGGUGUUGUCAACCUGGACACAUUAGGAAGAAUUGUCCGAUGUCUCAUCAAUCACAAGAUUCUGCUCCUAGUUCCACUCAGCCAGCUUUGUCUGCUCCUUCAGUCACCGCCUCGUCGGAUAGGGAAGCUAGUGGAUCCAGAGGUGGAGGUGCUGGUACUUCCUCUCAGGGCAGCCAUCUAGAUGCGAACGUCAAAGUUCUGCUGGUAGGGGCCAAGCAAGGGUGUUUGCUUUGACACAGCAAGAGGCCCAAACAUCCAAUGUCGUGGUCUUAAGUAUUCUCUCAGUUUGUAAUAUGAAUGCCCGGGUACUAUUUGAUCCUAGUGCUACCCACUCUUUCAUUUCUCCAUGUUUUGCAUCUCGUUUGGAUAAAGAUCAUGUUAGGAGAGAACGACAAUUAGUAGUGUCUAGUCUUUUAAAGGAGGUAUUUAUGGCUGAAUGGGAAUAUGAGUCCUGUGUAGUGCGAGUCAAGGACAAAGACACUUCGGUGAAUCUAGUGGUGUUAGACACCUUAGACUUUGAUGUGGUUUUGGGGAUGGAUUGGUUAUCACCCUGCCAUGCUAGUGUGGACUGCUAUCAUAAAUUGGUUAGAUUUGAUUUUCCCGGUGAACCAUCGUUUACUAUUCAGGGGGAUAGGAGUAAUGCUCCAACUAAUUUGAUAUCGGUCAUAUUUGCCAGAAGAUUAUUACGACAGGGUUGUUUAGGUUAUUUGGCUAUAGUAAGGGAUACACAGGCGAAGGUUGGAGAUGUAAGCCAAGUGUCGAUGGUGAAUGAGUUCAUGGAUGUAUUUCUUGAGGAAUUACCGGGUUUACCUCCAGAGCGGGAGAUUGAAUUUUGCAUAAUUUAAUUCCAGACACUAGACCUAUAUCCAUACCCCCAUAGAGAAUGCCACCUUCAGAGCUUAAAGAGCUUAAGGAUCAAUUAAAAGAUUUGUUGGAUAAAGGCUUUAUCCGUCUUAGUGUAUCCCCAUGGGGAGCAUCGGUGUUGUUUGUGAAGAAGAAAGAUGGGUCACUUAGGCUGUGCAUUGAUUAUCAACAGCUUAAUAAAGUGACAGUGAAGAAUAAGUAUCCUCUCCCAAGAAUAGAUGAUUUAUUUGAUCAACUACAAGGAGCACAGUAUUUUUCUAAGAUAGAUUUGUGAUCUAGGUACAAUCAAUUGAGGAUCCGAAAUGAAGAUGUACCAAAGAUCGCAUUUCGAACAAGGUAUAGGCACUAUGAGUUCUUGGUGAUGUCAUUUGGGCUCACGAAUGCUCCUGCAGCCUUUAUGGAUUUGAUGAAGCGAGUGUUCAAGCCUUAUUUGGACAAGUUCGUAGUAGUGUUUGUUGAUGAUAUGUUGAUCUACUCGAGGAGUAGGGAGGAGCAUGAGCAGCAUCUUAAGAUAGUGCUCCAAAUUUUGAAAGAACAUCGAUUGUAUGCCAAGUUCUCCAAGUGUGAGUUUUGGCUUGAAAGUGUUGCAUUCUUGGGACAUGUGGUAUCUAAAGAUGGGGUACAAGUUGAUCCAAAGAAAGUUGAGGCAGUGGAAAAAUGGCCAAGGCCAACAUUAAUUACAGAGAUUAGAAGCUUUUUGAGUUUGGCUAGCUAUUAUCGUCAUUUUGUGAAAGACUUCUCCAAAAUAGUCGCCCCUCUGACUAAACUGACAUGUAAGGAUACAAAAUUUGAGUGGUCCGAUGCUUGUGAGGAUAGCUUUGAGAAGUUUAUGUCAUGUCUCACCACAACUCCAGUAUUAAGCCUACCGCAAGGCACAGGGGGUUAUACGGUAUUCUGUGAUGCAUCGCGGGUUGGUUUAGGGUGUGUAUUAAUGUAGUAUGGGAAGGUAAUUGCGUAUGCAUCCAGGCAACUUAAAAGGCAUGAGCAGAAUUACCCCGCACACGAUUGAGAGAUGGCAACAAUCGUGUUUGCCUUAAAGAUUUGGAGGCAUUACUUAUAUGGUGAGACUUACGAGAUAUACACGGACCACAAAAGUUUAAAGUAUAUAUUUUAGCAGAGGGAUCUUAACUUACGGCAACAUAGAUGGAUGGAGUUGCUAAAGGAUUAUGAUUAUACUAUUCUCUUCCAUCCCGGUAAAGCAAAUGUAGUGGCGGAUGCCUUGAGUUGAAAAUCGAUGGGAAGUUUGGCACAUAUUUCUACAGAUAGAAGAUCCUUGAUUAGGGAGAUUCAUAGUUUUGGAGACAUGACUGUGCAUAUGGAAGUUUCGGAGACAAAUGGCUAGCACAUUUUAAAGUGAGGCUUAUCUUAAUAGAUUGGAUUAAGGAAGCACAAAGUAAAUAUGAGUUCAUAGCCAAGGCCUUAGAGGACCCUCAAGGAAGGAAAGGGAAGACGUUUACCAAAGGCACAAAUGGAGUGUUAAGGUAUGGAAGUAGACUUUAUGUGCCGGACAAGGAUGGACUGAGGAGAGAAAUAUUGGAGGAGGCUCACAUGGUAGCUUAUGUGGUACAUCCAGGGGCUACAAAGAUGUAUCAAGAUUUGAAAUAGGUAUAUUGGUGGGAAGGACUUAAAAGAGAUGUAGCUGAGUUCAUCUCCAAAUGCCUAGUUUGUCAGUAGGUUAAGGCCGAGCAUCAAAGGCCUGCAAGGUUAUUACAUCCAUUAUCGAUGCCCGAGUGGAAGUGGGAGCAUAUUGCUAUGGACUGUGUAACGGGUUUGCCUCGACCUAGUGGGCGUUACGACUAGAUUUGGAUCAUAGUAGACCGAUUAACAAGGUCAGCCUAUUUUGUUCUAGUUAAAUCUAUUUAUGGUGCUACCCAAUACGCUUGAGUUUAUGUGGAUGAGAUAGUACGACUGCAUGGUAUCCCCAUUUCUAUAGUAUCUGAUAGAAGAGCUCAGUUCACCAGUGGGUUUUGGGGAAAGUUGCACAGUUUAAAGUUGCACAGUUUGAGGGUGGAAAGUCCUUAGACUAAUGGACAGUUUAAAGGGACGAUACAAACAUUGGAAGAUAUGUUGAGGGCCUAUGUGAUAGACCUUGGGGUCAGGUGGGAUCAAUAUCUACCCUUAGUGGAGUUUGCCUACAAUAAUAGUUUCCAAACUAGCAUCCAAAUGGCACCAUUUGAGGCAUUAUAUGGACGGAGAUGUAGGCCACCUAUUGAAUGCUUAGAGGUGGGAGAAAGGAAACUUUUUGGGCCAAAGUUGGUGUAGGACGCCAUUGAGAAGAUACAUAUGAUUCGGCAAAGGAUUUUGUCAGCACAAAGUAGACAGAAGUCAUAUACUGAUAAUAGACGGAGAAACUUAGAGUUUCAAGUGGGAGAUCACGUAUUCCUGAAGGUCUCACCAACUAAAGGGGUAAUUAGGUUUGGCAAGAAAGGAAAAUUAAGCCCUCGGUAUAUAGGACCCUUCGAGUUCUUAGAAAGGGUUGGAGCGGUGGAUUAUUGUUUAGCACUACAACCAGACCUCUUGAAUAUUCACCUCGUGUUUCAUGUGUCCAUGCUUAAGAAGUACAACCCGGAUCCCUCUCAUGUAAUAUGGUAUGAGACCAUCCAGCUAAAAGAUGAUUUAACCUAUGAGGAACAACCGGUAGCUAUCCUCGAUUGACAAGUCAAAAAGCUCUGUCCAAAGGAUGUAGCCUCAGUGAAACUGUUGUGGCGGAAUCACACUAGCGAGGAGGUAACGUGGGAAGUCAAGGAAGAGAUGCGAACAAAGUAUCCCCAUCUCUUUGAUACUUAGAGGUAUGUUAACUUAUAGUGAAUUUAAAUUCGAGGAUCAAAUUUCUUUAAGUGGGGGAGAAUGUGAGACCUUGACCUUUAUAGACUCGUAAAAGGAAGAAUACUCGAUAUCCCUGAUCAGGGGUAAUUUCGUCAUUUCCUUACCAAACCCAUAAAAGUAAGAUUUUAAACAAUAUUAUGGCCAAAGUAGGCUUAAGGCAUAAAUGAAUGAUGAAAAUAUGGGUAAAAUGACAAGGAAACAAAAAUUUUGAUGAUUUUCCCAAUAGGGGUAAAAUGGUUAUUUUUCAUCUCAAGUCAAAAUUUUUAAGUUUUUAGGAACCCGAACAUUUCUAGACCAUUAUGGACCUUGUCCCAGUGUCAAAAGAGCAAAAAGAUUGCAUAAAGAUUGGAGGAGAAUAAGUUAAUUUGUGGAUGGCCAUUUUGGUAAUUUAAUUAGAGUGGAUAAGCUUGGGCUAUAAAUAUAUCUUCUUUCCAGCAUCUUCUUCUUCUUCUCCUAUUCCGAUGCCACGUUGCUUCCAUCAUCCAUGGAAGCUUGAUAUGGAGCUUGCAAAAUUUUCUCUCUCUAGCUCUAGUUUUCAUACGUUUGAGCCCUUUUGACUAGAACCCUUGUAUUAUUUCACUCUCUCACUUUAAAACCCUUGAAAAAUCCUACUUCUAUGCUUUCUCUCACUAGCUAAGUGUUUAGAGAGAGAAAAAGAAAGAAAGCCCUAUAAUAAGCUUGGGAAUUGUUGGAAAGAAUUUCAAAGUUACAAAGCUAUCAAGGUGAGUAGUAAAUUAGAAUUUAGUUUUAAGUGUUAAUAAUGUUUAGUGAUUGAUUUGUGAGUUUAUUGUUGAGAUUGUGUAUUGACUCUAAUGUGAUUAGGUAGUGAACAUAGAUAGCCAUUUAAAAUGGCAAUUGAAAGCUAGUUAAGAGAUAGUUUUUAGGGUUUAUAGUAUGUGAAUUAACAUAAUGGUGAUGUUAAUGUGAUGGUAGGUUCCAAGGAAGCCUUAUCAUCCAAUUUUGCCAAUUAGGGGAAUUAGAGUCAGCGAAAGGCUCAACAAUAUACCGAUGAGUGGACUUGCAUUUCAAACUUGUUUUGGAGAAUGUAAAUGAUUUUAUCCAACUUGCCUUUGAAAAUGUACCUUGGGAACAAGCCUUUGGUGAAGUGAUUUUAUAUUGUGAAAAUGUGAUAUACAGCGUUUUAUGUGUUAUCACAAUAUGAUAAUAUACAUGAUAUGCGUUGGGUGCUUCUUUAUAUGUUUAUAUAGACCCGGCUAGGUGCGAGUAGGAGUGCACAUAAGUCGUUGCUGACCCAGCUAUGUGCGAGUGAAAGUGCACAUAAGUUGUUGCUGACCCGACUAUGUGCGAGUGGGAGUGCGCAUAAGCCGUUGCAUAUGAAAUUAUGAUGAUGGGAGGGUGUACAUGAUGAUAUAUAUAUAUAUAUAUAUAUAUAUAUAUAUAUAUACAUAUAUGGUAUAUGGUUGUAAUGACAAAAAGUGAACAUUUGAUUUGUUGAAAUUUGGGAGUUUGCAUGUGUUACAUGUUUCUUUUGUUAUUUAACAGGAUGGUUUUAUUUUAAGGGAAAAGGAAACCUUUUUCUUGAUGUUUUGAUUCUCGUUGCAGCUAGAAACUCUCGGGUUUUGAAGAGGUUGGCUGGCCAGAAAUUCACUGCAACGAAAAUCGAUUCUCGCUGUAGCGAGAAAGGUACUCUAGCUUCUCGCUGCAGUGAGAAACUUUCUGUUUUAUGACCAAAAUCUCGCUGCAACGAAAAACUUUCUGUUUUUCACCUCAUUUUGAUCAAUUGUUGCCUUAUUUUACACUUCUUUGCUACCAUAUUUGAGCAUGAAUUUCCAACAUUAAGGAAUAAAUGAAUUAAGCUUAAUAUGAGGAGGUUUGGUGAGAAACCCUCGGCCAGUCAAGAAACCCUUGGUUAGUUGAUAAUUUAAAUCAAGUGUCACUGCAGCGGAAAGGGAUUCUCGCUGCAGCUGCAGCGAGGACCUGUCGUUUAUUUGACCUGAUUCGCAUGAAUGCUAUUAAAGUUUUCACUCUCCAAAUCCUUUGUUGAAUAUAGACCCUUUCAUAAAGUUAUUUACUCAUGUGGGGUUUACAUGAGGGGUUUUAAUAAGAGCAAAAACAACUUGCAUUGUUUUGAAAAAGAAUGCAUCAUGAUUUCGUUAAACAUUCCUUAUGGUAUGCUUGUUCCUUUUCUUGUUCACUCACUGGGUUUAUACUCACCGUUUUCAACUUCAUGUUUUUAGAUCACGAGGCAGCCGGUAACUAGGACAAGGUAUCCUCGUAGACUUGUAUCCAUCUUUUGGUAGGUGUCUCGGCAUUCAGUAGCAGUACAUUCGUCUGAGUCCCUCCACUGGAAGUUGAGUAUUCUUUUGUUGUGUAUAGACAAACUAAAUAUAAAUUAUUAAGAUACAUGUUGUAGAUAAUGUAUAUGCACUUGUUUAGUAUGCCAGUAUGAGGUGGCAAAUGUUUAAUAUUAUUUUGAUCCUAAGUUAUGAAAUGUGACUUAGCAGUUUAUGAUGGAAUGAUGAACGUGUUAGAUUAAUAGGCUUGCUUGGGCUUAGUGGACUACGUCCAUUAGGCCCAUGCACCGGUCAUGUCCCAAAAUUUGGGUUGUGACAGUAGCGGAGUGACUCGACAUGGAAGUUUAAGAGAUGCCACUACCUAUGUCGCAGUGAAUCAAAAUGCUGGGGCGAUACACUUGGGCUGAUCACUUAUAUGCAAAAGGAAGAUAAGUGGGUAAGCUUCAUAGACUCAGUGACCAUUAAUUCCAUGAGCAAGGGGUAGAUGGGAAACAACCUAGGUACAAGAGAUUUGAACAUUAAAACAUAAGAGCAUAUGUAAACAGUUUAACUCGAAAGGAAGUUUUGUGCCUUACAUGAAAUUCAAGAAUUUUAAUGCAAUGUAAUCUUUUAACAAUAAUGUAUCAAAAUCAGUGCAAGUGAAAGCUUUCCACCCUCGAAAUCAUUUAAUAAACUUGCUCAAAUCCAUCCAACAUAAACAUGCAUGCUCCCGUGAAGUCAAGCAUUAUGAAAGCUUAUACACAAAUUUGCAAAUCACCUUAUCCUUGAGGAGUUAAAUACAAAGUCAUAGUAUAAACAGGGGAGCUUCGGAAAAACUUAUAAUUCUCACAAUGCGAAAGAAUACAUGUUUGAAAACCCAAAGAGAUACCACUCUCGAGUAGGUAAUCAUAGUAAUCAACUUGUGGACCUGCUUCCAUGUAACAACAUCCGAGAGGCCCCCCUCCACUGGAUUCCCACAGCCAUGGCAGUCUCGACGAUGUUGGUCGACAUCGGAGAAAUCAUGUCGUCUUAACCACGUAAUUACUUGUGGCUUAGCCACGUGUAUCAUCCUAUGGCCUUGCCAUGUAUACAUAUCACAAACGGUGGCCUAGCCAUGUCUAACAGCCCAUCGGUGACCCAAAGGUUCUUUAGCUAGAGCUCACUUGUGCACAAAGGUCACACUAUCCCAAUGUGACAUUCAGCCUACUCUCAAAUCUCUCGGUUUGAUAAAACCUUUUAAAAAUCAAGUUAGGUUCUCAAAAGCUCAUUUCAAAUCCAUUUCCAAAACACCAAUGAUGGUAACAUGAUAAAAACCCUUUUGUAAGACUUUUCAAUAUAAAACCUUUGCAUGAGGAUUAAAUAUCAAAUUAGCAUGGUGAAUAUGUAAUUUAUUCAUGAAUGCACAUCACACAAACAAUAAGGCACAUUUUGACAUAAACUGUGUUAAAGAGCUUGUUUCUCAAUUUUUAAACACUUUACAUAUAUAAUUCAUAUAUAUAUAUAUAUAUAUAUAUGUUUAAAACAAUUUCAAACAUCAUGGCAUCCACAAUGUCAUAGCGCAAUUUUCGGGCCAUGACCAGCACAAAGGCCCAAUGGGCUCAGCCCACUAAGCCCAAGCAAGCCUACUUAAUUGAUCUUAUACAUUAAUCCCUAUUCCUUUAGAAUUCAAAGCUUGAAAUGUUCAAAUACUGUUUCUUUGAAAACGAUUCAUAAAACCCAAUCAUACAUUCAUAAUGGCAUCAUCCACCAAUAUAUUCAUAAAUAGAUUAACAAAUGAUUCUUAAUGUUUCACAUUAAAUAUUCAUAUACACAUAAUUAGACCUUGACCGUCAGUGGAGUGACUUUAGGCACGAUUGAUAACACUUAGUGUCACGUUAAACCUACCGAGCAAUGUAUAGGGAAAAACACCUCGUCCUAGGAUCCAAUCACCUCUAACUCAGGAAACGUAAAACAUGAAUUUUAAAAACGUGAGUACAAACUCAGUGAGUGAACAUAGGAAGGGAACAAGCAACGUUAAGGAAGGUUUAGAAAUCAUGAUGCACAUUUUUUAAAACAAUGCAACUUAGUUCAAGUUCUUAUUAAAAUCCCUCCAUUAAACCCUUGGUUAUUAAAUCAUUUCAUGAUGAAGGAACCAUAUUUAUCAUGAAAUAAGAAAGAGAGGAAAUUUCCAAAAAACAUUUUAUCUCACCCAGCUCAUGUGCAUCCCACCACAUCGUGCACAUAGUCGGACACCACAUCUCACCCAGCUCAUGUGCAUCCCACCACAUCGUGCACAUAGCUGGACACCACACUUCACCCAGCUCAUGUGCAUCCCACCACAUCGUGCACAUAGCCGGACAUCACAUCUCACCCAUCUCAUGUGCAUCCUACCACAUCGUGCACAUAUUCGGACACCACAUCUCACCCAGCUCAUGCACGGUUACAAUUGUCACAUAAUGGUACCAUUUAUGACAUAGUAUAUAUAUAUGUAUAUCAACAUUAUACAAAAACGUAUGGAUUCAUCCUUUUACACAUUUCACAUUUCAUAACAUCAAAACAUUUUAUCAGGGACUUGUGCCCAAACAAUUUUAAAGCAAAAACUGAUAAAAUUCUCAAAUGAUUAAUUAAAACACGUAAACAUUUCCCUAAAACAUUUUUAAAUGCAAGUUCACCCACAUAGCAACAAUGAGAUAUUAAAUCACUAUUUGUUCAGAGGUGUCUCUUACUAUUUUCACUGGUCGAUCACUCGUUAUUUACUCUGACACGCCACCAUAGUACUCUAACCUUACCUCUACACUUCCUAGCAAUAAUACAAACUCAAUAUUUAAUUACAUACGUAUACGGGCAGCAUUUUAAUCAAUUAAUCCUUACUCAAAUUUAAAUUUUUCAUCUUGUCAUGAAACCAUCUUCAAUUAACUCUUAAUACAUUUUUACUAAAAUUACUUAUAUCCAUUGCUUACGUAAUUCCUUAGAUUAUAUCACCAGCAACUUAAUUAUGAUGUCACGUGCCUACUUCAACCUUUCUAAAUAAUUUUUGCCCAAAUCCAUCUUAUAUUUCCACAGAUAAUCCAUAUAUAUGACAGUAACAAUCAUUCUCACUUUUACUCGAUUAUUUUCUAGUUUACAUGCAUCAUUAUCUAUCUAACUUUCAAUACUUUGUUUCUCAAUCCUCCAUCCACAAUAUUCCUUUUUCAUUUCUUUCAAACAACAUGCCAUACAAUCUUAAUAAUUUUCAACUAGCUUAGGCAAAUNNNNNNNNNNNNNNNNNNNNNNNNNNNNNNNNNNNNNNNNNNNNNNNNNNNNNNNNNNNNNNNNNNNNNNNNNNNNNNNNNNAACUAAUCGUAGGCUUUAAAACAUAGUGUUAAGCUUACCGUUUUCCUUUUCCACUUUGAGUCCUUCAUGUACCCAUGGUUUUAUUGGCUUACAUGUUACCAAUUUUUCUCCAAUCAAGCCAAUCUUUGCUGCCACAAGACAUUUCUCUAAGUCACUAACUCAUUUUCAAAGACUACUCAAGCCAAACAAAAGAAUUCUUACCGUUCCUUCCUUGAAUCACCAAAACCAAGCUUUUUCUUUCUUCUCCUCCUAGGGUUUAGGUGUGCUAGAAAUUGGGGUUAAAGGCUGUAAAUUUAAUGCUCAAAAAGUUUAGAGAAGAAAGGAAAAGAAAACAUGGAAAGGAAAGUGAAGAAAACUUGAUUUCAUGGUGGACAAGGAGAAAAAUGGCAUGGAAGCUUCAAGAAUGAAGAAGUUGCUGGAAGCUGUUGGAAAAAUGAGAAGAAGCUACUAGAAAAUGAUAUUUAUAGCUCAAGCUUAUCCAAACUUCACUUAAAUUACGAAAAUGCCCUUAACAAGUUAACUUUGUCUUCCUCCAAUCUUUUGUGCAAUCUUUUUACUCUUUUGAUACUGAGACAAAGUCCAUAAUAGUCUAGAAGUACUCAGGUUCACGAAAACUUAAAAAUUUCUAUCCGAGAUGUAAUAUGACCAUUUUGCCCUUGCCUUGGAAAUCACCAUUAUUUCUAUUUCCUUUAUUUAUUUCACCAUCAUUAACAUCAUUUAUUUAUUCCUUAGGCCUACUCAGGCCUUAAUAAUACUAGAAAACCCACUUAUAAGAGCCCACCAUGAGAAAUGAUGAAAUUAGCCUUGGUUCAUGUUAUCGCGUUUACUUCUAGUUAUGGGUCUAUGGAGGUCAAGGUUUCACACAUACUUCUUUUCCCUGGGAUUGACCAUGUACUCCUCCUUCAUGACAAAUUUCGACAUUGAAUAAAACAUUAAUAUUUUAAUAUUAUUUAAUUAAUAAAAUAUUAUUUUAUUUUAAAAAUUUCCUCUUAUCACCUUUUGUCUCCUUAGAACCCAAAAUACCUUAUUAUGCCUCAAUUGACUUCCGAAUCACUUUUAUCUCACAAAUUCUUAUCCGAUAAAAAUAUCAUUAUUUUAUUAUUAUUUCUUCGCGUGUGAAAUAUUUUAUCCCAAACUAUUUCUUUCAUCUUUCAUCACUUUUAAAAAUUAUAAUUAACGUCAAUUGGCAUUCGAUAAUCUUUAUUAGUCACCAUAUCAAAGUAUAAGGUAUUAUAGUCUCCCUCACUUAAAUAGAAUUCGUCCUCGAAUUCACGUCAGUGUCGAAUUAUCAAUCCCACUCUAUGAUCUUAUUCCAUUUCUCCUUUUAUAGGGAAUUUCGAUCUAUUCACCACGUUCACCUCUAGUUCAACUUGAAUACUUCACUUAUGUCUAUUAUUAUCCUUUAGAAUCAAAGCAGUAAUACCCUUCACAUUCAUAAUCUUUUAUAUUGAGACUUCAAACAUGCCUCUAUCACUAUCAUUAAAUUUGAACCAUAACUGCAUCUCAAUCAUACCGAUUUUGAUCACAUAUUAUACUUACUUACGUAUACCUAAUCACCAUCGUAUUAGUUCGCUCCUUGCCAAACUUCUCGACAUUAAUUCAUUCAUCUUAUUCCCUUACACUAUUAUGUGGCCUACAACAUUACAAACAUGCCAUAUUCAUUUCUGUACAUAGUCUCAACGUUGAGAAAAUUUAAUGCUUUCAAUUAUUCCCACAUGCUUCAGGUUUAUCUUGCAUUUGCUCCACAUACUUCAAUUAUUCCCACGCCAUGGAUUACAUUUCUUUAAUCUCAUUUCUCUGACUAUUUUUUCCAAAAUUUCUUAUAUCAUCAUAGUUCAACUUCUAAUGGGACUUAUUGCCGUUGUACCAUCUAUAAACUCAUCAAAUACAUAAAGUUCAAAUCUCAAAUUAUUAAGAACAAUUCUUCACCUCAUAUGAUUAAGUCAUCAAUUUCACAUAUACGUAUGUACAUGCAUUUUCCAAAUGUCAACAUCCUUCAUUACGCAUAAGGAUCCAUGUGUUCACGUGCCUUGGACUACACUUCCCUUUAUUCAUCCCCAUCCCUAUCCAAGAUUGAAUGUAAUAAUCCUCAUAGUGCAUGUCAGCAUUCUUGUUAUGCCUAUGCAUAACUUCAUAUCGUUUAUAUCAUUUCCAACUAUAUGCUUGAGUUUUAUCAUACUAUAUAUCCUUGCAUCACAAUGUCAUUAAUCACAUCUCACUUGCUAAAUGUCAUUUUCAUUAAAUUGCAAUCCAGUAUCCGUAUAUGCUUUAUAAUCUCAUUGAUCCUUCAAGGAUUUAUCUCUUACUUGAUCAUUGCAUCUUAUGCAAUGCCACCAUCCCUAAAAGUCAUCCUUAUUUCUCAAUUAUUCUUCAUACCUCUAACAUAUAUAUAUUAUAUCUUUGUUGCAUUUUGACCUUAAUGAGUCACUUAAAACUUAGACUGAUUCGAAUAGUGCCUACCUCAAGUAUUUCUGAAUUUCAAUUUUCAUACUACAUUAGAAAGUUUUCAUUAUCGGGGCUUCAUUAUCCAGAUUAUCUUCAACCAUCCUUUGUUCUAUUCUUCCAUACUAACGUGACAUUAUUCUCCCUGGACCAAUUUACAGUUUUUGCUUGAAAUUGCAAGACUUGAAACAAGGUCCUCCUCAAGUACUUUUCAAUGUCAAUAUGAAUAUCACCUUCAGCUUACGGCUUCCUCUUUAUAACCACAUAACUUAAUGUUUACAUUCACAAGAUCCAUAACAGAACUCCUCUUGAGUAUUUCCUUGGGGAUACCUAUCUUAAACUCAUGUCUCACCUCAUGUGAUCACUUAACCUGUGACUUAGCCGUUAGGCUCCUCAGCAAGUUACAAAAAUUUCACAUUUUAUACUUGCCGUGUAUGAUUUAUAAUUCCUUCUCAAAGAUGUUUGUGCAUUCCUGAAACACUUAGUCUCUUAUUUGCUCCUUAACAUCUCGAGCAUAUUGUCCUAUAGACAUGCAUUUAUUCUUAAAGAUAUAUAAAUACAUACUCAUCCAUUCAAUCCCCAAUUUGUCUUCAUAGGUGUCUAGUGUGCCACAUAAUUGGCCUUGUGUUGUUACUAACCCCUUUCAUUUAGUUGAGUCAAGACAAGAAUUGCAAAUUCUCAUAACGAUAUUCUGGAUAAACCCAUUCGCUAUACCACCCUUGUAAUCCUUCAUUCACACUUUCAUCACUUGGUAUUGACAUCCCUUACCCAUAUCUCAUAUAUUCAUCUAACUCUUCACUCACUUUCUCUUUAGCCUUUAACAAGGCUUAAUCUCUCGUCUCCUUUAUUUCUUAGGGUUUACCUUUAGUCAACAUAUUAUCCAUAAACAGAGCAUUUUAAGUGAAAUGGGUCUUGUUACAUCAAAAGCCAUUUUCUUGUUGAAAUGAAAAGCAAUUUGGGAGCAAUUAACAAUGCCAACACACAACACAAUCACAAUUAUUUUCAUAAACUUUCUAUAACAUAUAUAUAUUUGUAUAUACAUACAUCAUCAUGCAUACCAUCCCACCACACUCAACUCAAUGCAAUAUCAUCAUCAUGUGUGCACUUUCUACUCACACACUUCAACAUCAUCAUGUGUGCACUCCCUACUCGCACACUUCAACAUCUUCACACAACAUUAUUCAUCAAGACAAAACAUAUAUUCAUAUAUAUACCUACCAACAUAAUAUAAAAGCACAUGGAUUCAUCCUUUUACACAUUUCACAUUUUUCACAGCAUCAAAAUAUUUUAUCAAGGGCUUGUUCCCUGGCACACAUUUUUAAAGAAAAGUUGGAUAAAAUCAUUCAAAUGUUCAUUCAAAUACACUACAUUUCCCAAAGAAAUUUUGAAAUGUAAGUUCACUCACCAGUCUUUAUUGAUGUUUUAGUGGGCUCUAGCUUCGACUAAUGUUCCGAAUGGAGGUGUAGGGUUUUGUUGGAACCUAUCACACACAACAACAUCACCAUCAACCUAACUUGGCAUUGUUACUAUUCCAAAGCUAUUUUCUAAACUGGGUUCUACUAGUCAUUCCUAACUAGUUUCCAACUAUUAUUAAAUGGCUAUUAUUUGCACCAUCCUAAUCACUUUAAAAUGAAUAAACAACCUCAACUACAAAGCAUUCCCAAGUCUCAUCACUAGCUAUUCUCAACACUUAAAUAUCAAAUUCUAAUUCUCUACUCACCUUAGUAGCUUCGUAGUUGAAUCUGUUUUCAAAAAUUUCAAGCUAUUAUGGAAGCUACCUCUUUCUUUCUCUAAACACCUAGUUAGUGAGAAAAAGUAUGGAAGUAAGAUUUUUUUUUUCAAAGGUUUUAAAGUGAGAGACUGAAAGAGCACAAAGGUUCUUGAAAGGGUGCAUAAAAGCAUGAAAAGUGGAGCUAGCUUGAGAGAGUUAUAGAAGCUUAAAGAGAACUUCCAUGAAAGAUGAAGAAACAUGAGAGGGAAGAAGGAAGAAGAAAAAGAAGCUACUGGAAAAUGUGAGAAGAAGCUGCUAGAAUAUGAUAUUUAGCUUAUCCAACUCUAUUUAAAUUACUAAAAUACCCUUAGCAAGUUAGCUUAUUCUUCUCCAAUCCUUUGUGCAAUCUUUUUACUCUUUUGACAUUGAGGCCAAGUCCACAAUGGUCUAAAAAUAUUCGGGUUUAUGAAAAAUUAAAAUUUUAACUUGAGAUGAAAAAUGACCAUUUUGCCGUUACUUUGGAAAUCAUCAUUAUUUUUAUUUCUUUCGUCAUUUAAUCCUUAUUUUCAUAAUUCAUUUAUGGUAUAGGCCUACUUAGGCCUUAAAAAUGUUUCAAAGCAUACUUUUAGGGGCUCACUCAAGAAAUGACGAAAUUACCCCUAGCUCGAGUUAUCGUGUCUACACCUAGUUAUGAGGCUAUAGAGGUCGAGGUCUCACAACCACCUUAGUCACAGCCCAAAUUCCAGGCUACGACAGGCGCAUGGGCCCAAUGGGCAAAGCCCACUAAGCUCAAGCAAGCCUAUUUAUGCUGUCAUGACUCGGAACCUCCCUCGGGCCCACAACAAUCGUUUUGACGUCUCGAUUUACACUCAUUACUCGGAAUGCCAAUCGGAACCCCGCAAGGCAUACAUAUCAGUUUCUUGCCUUUCCUGUGAGCAAUCGUUGUUAAACAUUCUGUUUUAAACAAUUACCAGUCGUUUUCGGCUCAAGUAAAUCAAAAGACAAAAUUAUUUUAAAAAGAUUUAUAGACAAAUAUUACUAAUCAAAAUAUUGAUUAAAAUAUAGCAUUUUUGUAUAAAACAAUAUUUAUAGAAACACGUGUAAGUAAAAUAAAUUCAUACAUACAAUAAUUUACAAAGUUAUAAUGUACGAUAAUAAUUACAAUGACAAGUGGCCCGUAAAUACACAAAGUGUUGGUGAUAGUAACCUACUAUCUGUGAGAUAGAGGGGUCAACUAGAAUCCUCGACAAAAUUGGGGUAUCUACAAGUUACCACAGACCUUAAAUAUUUGGAAAGGAGGUAAGUGAGAUUUUGCAAUCCUAAUAAGUAAACAAACAUUAUUAUAAAUAUCUAAAGGCGAGUAAAAUGGAGGCUAGUUUAAACAACAAAUCACAAACCAUUUCAUAAGGUUUUCAAUUUAAUUCUUAAACCAUAAAAUAUUUGUAAUUUACCAAAACAGUUGUUAAGGCUUAUGACUUUUAUUAAAAACAAGGCUCAAGCUAAAAACUAAUCCUCGGGGAUACCUUGGCCGAGGCAUCUAAUCGAGUUCGCCCAGGUUGUUAAGAUAUUUACAUGUUAAACACAUGUUAGUUUUGAAAACAAGUCGUUCCUUGGCAUUGGCCAAGUUACACAAUCACGUGGGGGUUCGAUGUGAAGUGAACUCUAACACUACCCUAGGAGUUACCCUCAUCGCCUCUACAUCCAUAGUAACUAUAUAAUCGGGUUUACCGUGCCCCUUAAUAGGCAGUCCAUGGAAACCCGCCACUGUAGUGACUAAACCCACAAAUUUUAAUAAAAUUUCGACAAUAUAACGUGGCUUUUAUUUAUAUACCCAACCUGCAUAGUAAAAGACAGCUUACAUAAAUUCCCAAUGCAAUUAUCAAAUAUAGCCACAUAUAUACUCAUAUAUCAUAAGCCAUUCAUAGGAAAAUAUAUUUUUCACGACAAUUGGCAGCCUCCAAUUACUCAAUUUAAUGAUUAAAAGUUUCUUAUUUCAGAUAAUCAACACAAUGAAUUUAUUUGGCACAUUUAUUUCUAAAACAUCAAAAGUUCCAUUUAAUCUCAUUUUCGUUUCAUAAAAUACAUAAAGAGUAUUUAAAAAUAAACACUAGAUAAUUUACAAUAAUAAUAGGUUUACUCACCGUUUGUACAAACUAAUUGCUUUUUAGGUGGCCCGAUCACUGUUCAUCUAGUACGACUUCCUUGCCUUUACCGAAAGGCUCUCCUCCUAGACACAUUGAAAAAAUUUAACAAUUCACCACAUUGAUGCUAAAUCACUAUAUAAUUAACUUAAAUCUUAUACUAAUGCAUGGUAUGAAAUGCAAUAGCCUAAAACGGCUUAAACGCGGUAUUAACCUAUUUUUGGCACUUUACCCAAUAAAUUGCUAACGCGCUCCAUUUUAGCUCUAAAUUGUCCCAUUUUCUCUCAAACAUUUCUAACCAUUAAAUAUCAGCCAAUAACUUUCUAAAAUCAUCAAAAUCAACUCACUGUCCUCCUUGGAAAAAUUCGGCCAAAAAUGGGACAUUAAUUCGGUAAAUCUUCCACUUUGUUUUUCUAUCACAUUUAACCAUUUUUCAUCAUUUUCUCUUCAUUUCUGUUAGAAUAAAAAUCAGUUCAUCAUGAUUGUAUAUCAUUGAACAUUCAGCCAAGGGUGGGUAUUGUGAAAAUUUCAUGCUUUCUUGCCCAAUUUGAUUUCUAUACACAUUUAACUAACUAAAACUACCAAUUUAACUAAGAAUCUAAACCUAAAAAUUCCAAAAUUCUCUCCCUUGAAUUUCGACCAGCCCUUGGUUUCACUUUUUGAUCUCUCUCCUCAAGCAUGCUAAAUGGAAAUAAAGGCAUAGGAAAGGUAGAAAUCAAGCUAAAGUAGAAAAAUCUUACCGUUAGACGCGUAAACGGACGAAAAACGCGAUUUCCCAUUUGAAUUUUCUAGUUUUCCUUUGGUUUUUCUCUUUUCUUCCUUUCCUCUCUAUUUUCUCUCUUGUUCUCUCCUUAUGGCCGGCCAUCACCUGAUGUGGGGUUUAAAUGGGCUGAUUUUCCAUUAAAAUAAUAUUAAAAAAUUAAAAAGUGCCAUGUGUCACUUUUCCAUUGGCCCGUUUUUAAAUUUUCAUUCUUUAAACUUUAAUUUUUCACUACUUAACAUACCAUUGUUAUUAUUACAAAAAAUAAGUAAAUCUUAUGAUUUUGACAAGUUUUGGGUGGUGAAAAUUAUGAUUUUUACCCUAGGAGGAUAAAAUUACCGUUUUGCCCCUAUGUUUCGAAAAUUGCCGAAAUUGAAAAUUUUCACUUCCUAUCAUUAAAUUAUACUCCAAAUAGUUAAUCUUGGUAAAAAAUUUCACUCCAUGAUCAAAUUAUUAUCUUAGGUGGCAAAAUGACGAUUUUGCCCCUGAACAUCAAAAUUUUCAAUUUUUCCCCAAAUGAACCCUCGAACUCCGAACAAUCAUUUUUAGUCAUUCUUGGACUGUAAAAUAUUAAAUUUCAUCCUACGAUUCCUAUUUGAACUAGUUCGAGGUUAAAUCAACUCAAGUGUACCAUUAGGUAUAAUACCGAGUUUCGUUUAUUCUUAAGACUUUCCUAGCAUAAUAACAUGCUACUCAGUGCAUGUAUGUCAUGACAUGUGUUUAUAGGGUCGGGUUUUACAAUUCUACCCCCAUUAAAAUAAAAUUUUGACUUCAAAAUUUCACUUACCAGAUUCGACAAAUAGAUGCGGGUAUUGGUUCCUCAUCUGAUGCUCUACUUCCCAUGUCAUUUCCUCCAUUCGAGCACUUUUCCACAACACUUUGACCAUUGAAAUACUCUUGUUCCUCAAUACUCGAUCUUUUCGAUCCAAGAUACUCACAAGUUGCACCUUGAACUUCAAAUCGUCAUGCAACUCGAUCGGAGGUGCUUCGAGGAUGUGAGAGGGAUUUGGUACAUAUUUCUUAAGCAUAAAGACAUGGAAAACGCUGUGGAUCCGAUCUAACUUCGGAGGUAGUUCUAAUCGAUAAGCCACUGGUCCAAUUCUCUCAAUGAUUCGGAAUGGUCCAAUAUACCUCGAGUUAAGCUUUCCCCGCUUCGCAAAUCGAAUCACACCUUUCCACGGAGAAACCAUAAGAAAAACUCUAUCAUCGAUCUCAAACCUCCGUGUCUUUUCUCCGUUUAUCUGCAUAGCUCUUCUGCCUAUCCUGGGCUACCUUUAGCCUCUCUUGUACAACCUUGAUCUUGUCAUUAGUUAGAUCAAUCAAUUCCACACUAACUAACUUUCUUUCAUCCAUUUCAUCCCAGCAAAGUGGAGUACGACAUUUCCUUCCAUAUAAAGCUUCGUACGGUGCCAUACUAAUGCUAGACUAGAAGCUGUUAUUAUAAGCAAAUUCCACUAACGGUAAAUGUCUAUCUCAACUUCCAAGAAAAUCCAUGACACAAGCCCUCAACAUAUCCUCCAUAGUUUGGAUGGUCCUCUCUGACUGACCAUCCGUCUGUGGGUGAAAAGCAGUGCUAAAUUUCAAUUUGGUUUCGAGAGCUUCUUGAAAUUUCAGCCAAAAUCGAGAAGUGAAUCGAGGAUCUCGAUCUGACACUAUAGAAACGGGAACUCCAUGUAGCCUCACAAUCUCAUCUAUAUAGAGCUAAGCCAGCUUCUCAAUAGAGUAUGUACUAUGGACAGCUAAAAAGUGAACGAACUUAGUCAACCGAUCUACGAUCACCCAGAUCGCAUCCUUUCCCCUCUGUGUCCGCGGUAGUCCCAAAACAAAAUCCAUAGUUACAUGCUCCCAUUUCCACUCGAGAACAGGUAAAGACUGAAGUGUACCUGCUGGCCUCUGAUGCUUUGCCUUAACUUGCUGACAUACGAGACACUUUACUACGAAUUCUGCUACGUCUCGCUUCAUACCUGGCCACCAAUAAUUCUCCCUGAUAGUCCUAUAUAUCUUGGUGCUUCCAAGAUGUAAUGCAUAGGCAGAUGAAUGGGCUUCUUCCAUGAUUGCCUGUCUCAGUUGGUUUCCCUUAGGAACACAAACUCGAUCUUUAAACACCAGGACGUUAUCUUCUCUGAAUUUGAACUCACUAACUCCCUCAUCGGUCAAUUUUUGAAUUUCUUUUCUUAACUCAUCAUCAGACCUCUAAAUGUCCUUGAUCUGAUUAAGUAAUGAAUGUCGCACAAUGAAGCUUGCCAAUAAGAAUCCAUUCUCACCAUUUCUCAACUAGACCCCAAGAGAUUUCAUCUCUAAUAAGGCUGGCAAAUAACAACGCUGAUAAUGCUGGCAAAUAACAACGCUGAAGUGCAGCUAAAGACGAUGAAGACUUACGACUUAAGGCAUCAGCUACAACAUUCGCCUUUCCCAGAUGAUAGUCUAUCACCAAGUCAUAAUCGUUUAUCAACUCCAACCAUCUCCUUUGCCUCAAAUUAAGCUCCUUCUGAGUGAGCAAAUAUUUUAAACUCUUGUGAUCCGUAAAUACCCGACAAUGCUCACCAUACAAGUAAUGCCUCCAGAUUUUUAAAGCAAACACCACUAUUGCUAACUCUAAAUCAUAGGUAGGGUAAUUUGCUUCAUGCCUCUUUAGCUGUCUAGAAGCAUAAGCCAUAACUUUUUCAUCUUGCAUCAACACACACCCUAACCCCAACUUAGAUGCAUCACUAUACACCACAAAUUCUUUUCCAUUAACAGGAAGUGUUAAAACUGGAGCGGAGGUUAACCGGUUCUUUAGCUCCUGAAAUCAAUUCUGACAAACAUCAUCCCACUCAAACUUAACUCCUUUACGAGUUAGACGGGUCAAAGGAGCUGCUAUUAAGGAAAACCCCUAAACAAACCUCUGAUAAUAACCGGCUAAUCCGAGGAAACUACGAAUCUCUGUCACUGUCUUAGGUUGCUCCCAUUCUAAAAUUGCCUCUAUCUUCUUGGGAUCAACAUAUAUUCCAGCUCCCAGUACUACGUGUCCCAAGAAUACCACUUCCUGUAACCAAAACUCACACUUCGAAAACUUUCCAUACAACUAUUUUUCCCGCAAAGUCUGUAAUACUAUACGCAAGUGGGUAGCGUGCUCAUCAUUAUCUCUCGAGUAAACCAGGAUGUCAUCAAUGAACACAAUAACAAACUUGUCCAAGUAAGGGUGGAACACCCUGUUCAUGAGAUCCAUAAAAGCUACCGGUGCGUUAGUUAACCCGAAAGGCAUGACCAAGAACUCAUAAUGAUCGUACUGAGUCCUGAACGCUGUCUUGGGUACAUCUUGUUCUUUAAUCCUCAACUGAUGAUACCCAGACCUCAGGUCAACCUUAGAAACCACUGUAGCUCCCUGUAAUUGAUCGAAAAGAUCAUCAAUCCUCGGCAACGGAUACUUGUUCUUAAUGGUCAUUCUAUUAAGCUGUCGAUAAUCUAUACAUAACCGAAGUGUACCGUCAUUCUUUUUCACAAAUAAAGCCGGUGCUCCCCACGGAGAUGUACUAGGGCGUAUAAAACCCUUGUCCAUUAACUCUUGCAAUUGUACUUUCAACUCCUUCAACUCUGUCGAAGCCAUUAUAUAUGGAGCAAUAGAGAUAGGGGCAGUACUCGAAAGUAAGUCAAUGGUGAAUUCGAUCUCACGAUCAGGAGGAAGUCUCGAUAAUUCAUCAGGAAAUACAUCAGGAAACUCACUUACUACGGGGACAUUCUCUAACUUAGGUUCCUCCCUCAAUAUAUCAAUCACGUGAGCCAAGUAAGCCGGAUAUCCCUUUCGCACCAAUUUCAAAGCUUUGAGGGUCGAGAUUACACAAUACGGUAAUACUCGACGCUUCCCCGUAAAUACAACUUCUGCUCCCUCUAAACUCUGGAGAAUCACUUCUUUCUUAAAACAAUCGACCUUUGCUCAAUGAAUGGACAACCAAUCCAUACCCAAGAUCAAAUCAAAGUCCCGAAUCUCCAAAGAGAUUAAAUCACCCAUAAAUUCUUCUUCCCCAACUUUAAUACCAUAGUCUCUAUAAUACGUAUUUCUUACUAACCGCUCACCUAGAGGAGUAUGCACUACAAUAUCUUCCUCUAAUGGUGACAGGUUCCUAUCUGAGAAUUAUGCAAAUGAUAUGCUCAAGUAAGAUCUAUCGGAGCCCGAAUCUAUCAAAACAUGUGCAUCUCUAUCAAACAUAAUCAUAGUACUUGUCACUGUGCUAGGUCGAACCCGGGCUUCAUCCUCAGUCACUACAAAAACCCUAGUCAAAAUCUAGGGCUACGGUUUGGAAGAUGGCUGCUUUGGGGUAUUACUCCCCAUGCUUGACCGUAUCAUUGGGCCCUGUUUGGACUGUGAUCCUGAAGUGUUUCUCCGCGGUAUACUAGGAUGACUCGGAGGAGUAGAAGUAGCUACUGUACCCCGUCUCAACUGAGGACAAUAUCUCUAGAUAUGCCCUUGUUGGUUGCAUUGAAAACAUCUUACAGGCUUUCUACAUGACCCAACAUGAAAUCCUCCGUAAUUACGGCAUCUCUCCAAUCCUCCUGAAGUCCCCAUCUGAUUACUCAUCACUGGCCAAUCAAAUCUAGAAGAUCUCGGCUGUGAUUGCUGAGAUGGAGGUCUAGUGGAUACCACAAACGCUGAGGUAGCACUUCCUGCAAUAGAUGUCAAAUCUCUGCCUCUCUUUGAAGACUACCCGAGAACGUAGGCGAAUUCUUUCUCUUUGCAAACUCAGCUCGGAUCCAUCUAUUCUCAGUGCCGAACUUCUCAGUCCAUAAGGCCAUCUGCACAACUUCCUUAUACGACUCCUUGCCAGUCACUAUCAUACUCUCCCGUAUCUCAUUAUGGAGUCCCUCUUCAAAGUAGUUUACCUGGUCUUGCUCCAAUCUCACUAACUCAGGUACAUAAGACAUCAGCUCGUUAAAACAAGUUUCAUACUUCUCAAUGGUCACGUUCCCUUAUUUCAAGCUCAGAAAUUCUCUCUUUUUCUCUUUCUGAUGGAAAUAGGUGUAGUACUGACCAUCGAACUCUCGGAGGAAAUCCGUCCAAGUCAGCGGUAUAGAAGAGCGAGACUUUACUGAAUUCCACUAGGUACGGGCUCUCUUCUAAAAUAACCGUGUAGCCACCUUCAAUUUCAUCUCAUCAUCAAUCCCAUAUCUGCCAGUGUCUCCGAUACUUGAAUAACCUAAUCCCUAGCUACGGUCGCAUCCAACUCACCAGUAAACGAGACGCAACCUAACUGUCUAGCUUCCUUCAAUUUCUUAGAAAUGGAGACAUCCGGUGUUUGGGGUGGAAUAAGAGGUGGUGGUACUGGGGCUAUUACAGGGGAAACAGAGGGUGGAACUGGACCAACCUGAGCCUGACCCGUAAGAGCAGCGAGAAAAAUUGCUAAUGCCUGAGCUACCUCGGGUGACAUGGUAGGUACGCUAGGAGCAGCAACAGAUGGUGGAUGAGGUACAGGAAUGUUAGUAGACUCAGCAGUAGGAAUUGCUCUAAAAGAAGACGCAGCCGACUCCUCUUCUAUGGAAUCCGAUCAACUUUGUCUAGGGCUACCUCUUCCCCUACCAGUAGAUCUAGUGAUAAGUGGUAGCUCACGUCAAGGUGGCAUAAUGAUCUACAAAAGAACAGAAUUGAUUUAGACGACUUAAAACUCUAUAUGCAACUACAUGUAACUAACUAAUCUUAACUGGGCCACACUGACAUUGUAAAUUAUUUUAAAAUAACUUUAAAUCCAAUAACUUUAAAAAUCAAAAACUUCUUUCAAAACCAUAAGCUUUUAAACCGAAAGCUCUGAUACCAAUUGAAUUGUCACGACCCGGAACCUCCCUCGGGCCCACGACAAUCUCCGCGACAUCCCGAUUUACACUCAUUACUCGGAAUGCCAAUCGAAACCCCGCAAGGCUUACGUAUCAGUUUCUUGCCUUUCCUGUGAGCAAUCGUUGUUAAACAUUCUAUUUUAAACAAUUACCAGUCGUUUUCGGCUCAGGUAAAUCAAAAGACAAAAUUAUUUUUCAAGGAUUUAUAGACAAAUAUUACUAAUCAAAAUAUUGAUAAAAAUAUAGCAUUUUAUCUAAAAUAAUAUUUAUAGAAACACGUGUAAGUAAAAUAAAUUCAUACAUACAAUAAUUUACAAAGUUAUAAUGUACAAUAAUAAUUACACUGACAAGUGGCCCGUAAAUACACCAAGUGUUGGUGAUAGUAACCUACUGUCUAUGAGAUAGAGGGUUCAACUGGAAUCCUCGACAAAAUCAGGUAUCUACAAGCUACCAUAGACCUGAAAUAUUUGGAAAGGAGGUGGGUGAGAUUUUGCAAUCCCAAUGAGUAAAUAGACAUUAUUAUAAAUAUCUAAAGGCGAGUAAAAUGGAGGCUCGUUUAAACAACAAAUCACAAACCAUUUCAUAAGGUUUUCAAUUUAUUUCUUAAACUAUAAAAUAUUUGUAAUUUACCAAAACAGUUGUUAAGGCUUAUGACUUUUAUUAAAAACAGGGCUCAAGCUAAAAACUAAUCCUCGGGGAUACCUUGGCCGAGGCAUCUAACCGAGUCCGCCAAGGUUGUAAAGAUAUUUACAUGUUAAACACAUGUUAGUUUUGAAAACAAGUCGUUCCUUGGUGUUGGCCGAGUUACACAUUCACGUGGCGGUCCGACGUGAAGUGAACUCUAACACUACCUUGGGAGUUACCCUCCUCGCCUUUACAUCUACAGUAAUUAUAUAACUAGGUUUGCCGUGCCCCUCUAAUAGGCAGUCCAUGGAAACCCGCCACUGUAGUGACUAAACCCACAAAUUUUAAUAAAAUUUCGACAAUAUAACGAGGCUUUUAGUUAUAUACCUAGCCUGCAUAGUAAAAGACAGCUUACAUAAAUUUCCAAUGCAAUUAUCAAAUAUAGCCACAUAUAUACUCAUAUAUCAUAAGCCAUUCAUAGGAAAAUAUAUUUUUCAAGACAAUUGGCAGCCUCCAAUUACUCAGUUUCAUGAUUAAAAGUUUCUUAUUUCAGAUAAUCAACACAAUGAAUUUAUUUGGCACAUUUAUUUCUAAAACAUCAAAAGUUCCAUUUUAAUCUCAUUUUCGUUUCAUAAAAUACAUAAAGAACAUUUAAAAAUAAACUCUAGAUAAUUUACAAGAAUGAUAGGUUUACUCAUCGUUUGUACAAACUAAUUGCUUUUUAGGUGCCCCGAUCACUGUUCGUCGGGUAUGACUUCCUUGCCUUUACUAGAAGGCUCUCCUCCUAGGCACAUUUCCAAAAUUACACAAUUCACCACAUUGAUGCUAAAUCACUAUAUAAUUGACUUAAAUCCUAUACUAAUGCAUGGUAUGAAAUGCAAUAGCCUAAAACGGCUUAAACGUGGUAUUCACCUAUUUUUUACACUUUCCCCGAUAAAUUGCUAAUGCGCUCCAUUUUAGCUCUAAAUUGUCCCAUUUUCUCUCCAACAUUUCUAACCAUUAAAUAUCAGCCAAUAACUUUCUAAAAUCAUCAAAAUCAGCUCACUUUCCUCCUUGAAAAAUUCGGCCAAAAAUGGGACAUUAAUUCGGUAAAUCUUCCACUUUGUUUUUCUAUCACAUUUAACCAUUUUUCAUCAUUUUCUCUUCAUUUCUCUUAGAAUAAAAAUCAGUUCAUCAUGAUUGUAUAUCAUUGAACAUUCAGCCAAGGGUGGGUAUUGUGAAAAUUUCAUGCUUUCUUGCCCAAUUUGAUUUCUAUACACAUUUAACUAACUAAAACUACCAAUUUAACUAAGAAUCAAAACCUAAAAAUUCAAAAAUCCUCCACCUUGAAUUUCGGCCAGCCCUUGGUUUCACUUUUUGAUCUCUCUCCUCAAGAAUGGUAAAUGGAAAUAAAGGCAUAGGAAAGGUAGAAAUCAAGCUAAAGUAAAAAAAUCUUACCGUUAGACGUGUAAAAUGACGAAAAACACGAUUUUCCCUUUGAAUUUUGUAGUUUUCCUUUGGUUUUUCUCUUUUCUUCCUUUCCUCUGUAUUUUCUCUCUUGUUCUCUCCUUAUGGCCGGCCAUCACCUGAUGUGGGGUUUAAAUGGGCUGAUUUUUCAUUAAAAUAAUAUUAAACAAUUAAAAAGUGCCAUUUGUCACUUUUCCAUUGGCCCGUUUUUAAAAUUUCAUUCUUUAAACUUCAAUUUUUCACUACUUAACAUACCAUAGUUAUUCAUACAAAAAAUAAGUAAAUCCUAUGAUUUUGACAAGUUUUGGGUGGUGAAAAUUACGAUUUUUAUCCCGAGGUGACAAAAUUACCGUUUUGCUCCUAUGUUCCGAAAAUUGCCGGAAUUGAAAAUUUUCACUUCCUAUCAUUAAAUUAUACUCCAAAUAGUUAAUCUUGGUCAAAAAUUUCACUCCAUGAUCAAAUUAUUAUCUUAGGUGGCAAAAUGAUGAUUUUGCCCCUAAACAUCAAAAUUUUCAAUUUUUCCCUAAAUGAACCCUCGAACUCCGAACAAUCACUUUUAGUCAUUCCUGGACUGUAAAAUAUUAAAUUUCAUCCUAUGAUUCCAAUUUGAACUAGUUCGAGGUUAAAUCAAAUCAAGUGUACCGUUAGGUACAAUACCGAGUUUUGUCUAUUCUUAGGACUUUCCUAGCAUAAUAACAUGCUACUCAAUGCAUGUAUGUCAUGACAUGUGUUUAUAGGGUCGGGUUUUACAUAUGCAAUCCCAAUCAUCACUCCAAACCAUCAUUUCUCAAACCCAUAUUGUAAUUCUCAACUAAAAAUAUCUCAAUAACAUUUUAUAGUAACCCAAUACUCACAAUUGUAUUAUGCUAACAUAGUAUCACUCAUUGGCCACCUUAUAGUAGCUUUAGUAAUCAAAUAUACAUAUUUGAUUUUUAACAUGAAUCUUAGUGGUCUUCGUUACUUAUACAUGUACACAAGCAUAAGACUCUUGACCGUCAGCGUAGUGACUCUAGGUGAAGAUACAGCUACUGAGUUACCAUAGUACCUACCAAAAAGGUGAGCAUACGUGGACAGCUCAAUCUAGGUCCCAACUGCCUUUGAAUCUGAAAACAUGAAGUUUAAAAAUGUGAAUAUAAACUCAGUGAGUGAACAUAAUAAGGGAACAAGCAAUCGAUAGGAAAAAUUUGGAAUCAUGAUGCACUUGUUUUAAAAAUAAUGCAAUUGAUUUAAUUUCUUACUAAAAACCCCUCAUUUCAAACUUUGAUCAAUAACCUCAUAGUGUUGCAAAAUCCCAUGAUCAAUCCAUGAAGUUAAAUGGGUGAAAAAUAGGUCAAAAUCAAGCAAGGUAGCAAGCAUGGCAGCAAGUUUUUCACUGCAGCGAGAAACAAUCUUAAUUUCCAUAUGUUUUAGUUUUUCUAUCAUAUCUCCAACUACAGAAGUCUAAUUGACAUGUUUUUUAGAUCAUUAGAAACCAAAGAAACAAGGCUCCAACUUUGAUGUUUACCACUUUUCCAAAUUCGGAUGGGAAGGUGGUCAAAAUCUUUGUCGAAGUGAAAGCACUGCACCAGAACCCGAGAGUUUCUCGCUGCAGCGAAAAUGAAUCUCACUUCAGCUAGAAACAGAGCAUUUUAAUUGAAAUGGGUCUGGUUACAUCAAAAGCCAUACAUCAAAAGCCAUUUCUUGUUGAAAUGAAAAGUAAUUUGAGAGCAAUUAACAAUGCCAACAUACAACACAAUCACAAAUAUUUUUCAUAACUUUCUAUAACACACACAUAUAUAUACAUAUGCAUUCAUCAUCAUGUGUGCACUCCUUACUCGCACACUUCAACAUCAUCAUGUGUGCACUCCUUACUCGCACACUCAAACAUCAUCAUGUGUACACUCUCUAUUCACACACUCUAACAUCAUCAUGUGUGCACUCCCUACUCGCACACUUCAAGAUCAUCAUGUGUGUACUCCCUACUUGCACACUUCAACAUCCUCACACAACAUUAUUCAUGAAUGCACAAUGUAUAUUCAUAGACAUACAUACCAACAUAAUAUAGGAGCAUAUGGAUUGAUCCUUUUACACAUUUCACAUUUUCACAACAUUAAAACAUUUUAUCAAGGGCUUGUUCCUCGGCACACUUUUUUAAACAAAAGGUUGGAUAAAAUCAUUCAAAUGUUUCAUCCAAAUACAUUUGCAUUUCCCAAAGCAAAUUUUUAAAUGCAAGUUCACUCACCGGUCUUGUUGAUUCUUUUGCUUGACUCUAACCUCAACAAAUGCUCCAAAUGGACAUGUGAGACCUUGUUGGAACCUAUACACACACAACAUCACAACCAACCCAAAUUGGCUGUCAUAUAAUUCCAAAAGCUCUUUCCUACUCAAGUUAUACUAGUUAUUCCUAACUUGCUUCUAAUUUCCAUUAAGUGGCUAGUUAUUCACACUUCUCUAGUCACCCUAAGAGUGAAUAAACAACCUCAAUGAUAAAACAUUCACAAACCCCAUUGUUAGCCAUUAUCAACAACUAAAGAAAUUUAACCUUAACUUAUACUCACCUUGAUGGUCUUUGUAGUUGAAUUCUCUUUCAAAAUUCUUCAAGCUAACAAGGGAAAUCACUCACUCUCUCUCUACUUGUCUAGCUAGUGAGAGGAAGAUGGAAGUAAGACUUUUUAAGGGUUUUAAGGUGAGAGAGUGAAAUAUCACAAAAGAUUCUAUGAAAAAGUGCUAAAAAAUAUGAAAAUUAAAGCUAGAGAGAGAAAGUUAUGGAAGCUUUAAAGGAGGCUCCCAUGGAGAUGAAGAAACGUGAGAGGGGAAAGGAAGACGAAAUGGUUGGAAGCUGCUAGAGCUUUAGAUAGUUAUAUUUAAAGUUUAUCCAUUUCUCACAUAAAUUACCAAAAUGCCCUUAACAUGGUGACUUUAUCUUUCUCCCAUCCUUUGUGCAACCUUUUACUCUUUUAACACCAGGACAAGGUCCAUAAUAGUCUAGAAAUGUUCAGGUUCACGAAAACAUAAAAAUUUAUACCCGAGAUGCAAAAUGACCAUUUUGCCCCUAUCAUGGAAAUUAUCAUUAUUUUUAUCUUCUUCAUUUAUUUACCAGCAUAAACGUCAUUCAUUCAUUCCUUAGGCCUAUUUAAACCUUCAUAGCAUAAAAAAAAACCCACUCGUAGGAGCUCACCAAGAGAAAUUACAAAAUUACCCCUGGUCCAUAUUAUCGCAUCUACUUCUAGUUAUGUGUUUAUGGAAAUCGAGAUUUCACAGGUUCACUUCUGGAUUACCCUUUUUAACUCAGUAAUUAACCUCAAUUGACAUCUGUAAACUUUAUUAGUCAUCGUAUCAAAAUACGAGGUACUACAGUUACCGACAUCCAAGACUUGCGAGUAAACCCACCAAAUCCUGAACAAGCCUUAGUUGAGAUUCUGGAUAAUUAAAUCGAAUAUUUUUUUACGCAUAUAAAUUGACUAGUAAUAAUGAUACCGUCGUUUACUUAACUAGAUAAACAUUUGUAAUUAAUACGUCGAGACUAGAUGUCAAUAUCCAAUUCCAAUAAACUUUCAACAGAUUUAACAUCACACUUAAUACUCAUUACACAACCUCAAAGUUUUUAGCAAAUACAUUUUCGAAAGCCUAAUAAUAAUUAUAAGUCUAACACUUUUAUACAACACAACCCAUAUACAGUGGAGUGACUCAAAGUGGAAGUCUAAAAGAUGCCAUUACCUACGUUGCAGCAAGUCUCGAUGUGCUGAGCAAUACACUUGAGCUGAUUACUUAUCUGUAAAAGGAAGAUAAAGGGGUGAGUCUCACUGACUUAGUAAUCAUCGACUCUGUGAGUAGGGCGUAGAUGGGAAACAAGCCAAGGAUAGGAAUUUUGAAACUUAAACACAUGCAAAUACAUACGAACAAUUUGAAAUCAACGAAGCAUUUGUGCCUUAUAUGUAAACCCAAAAGUUGUGUUGCAAAAUAAUCACUUCAAGUAAUAGAAUAAAAUCGACGCAAGUAAAAGAUUUAUGCCGUCGAAAUCAUUUGUUGUUCUUUACAUAAAAUCAGGCUAACAUAAACAAGCACACUCUCGUAAAAUCAAGCAAUUUCGAUGUUUAUACACAAGUUUAUAAACUAUCUCAUCCUCAAGAUAUUAUACACAAAUCCAUCAUAUAAAUAAGGGAGCUCUAGAAUAAAACUCAUAUUUCUCACCAUGCGAAUGAAUACGUAUUUGAAAACCCAAAGAGAUAUCACUCUAGAGUAGUUAAUAGAAAUAAAGAACUCGUGGACUCGCUUCUAUGUAAUAACAUUCAGGAGCAUCGCUCCACAAGAUUUCCAUAGCCAUGGUAGUCUCGACGAUGUUGGCCGACAUUGGACAAAUCAAGUGGUCGUGACUGUGUAUAUCAACUUAUUGCCUAGCCACAUAUAACAACUAGUGGCCUUGUCACAUAUAAUCAUAGACCCUGGCCUCUGCCACGUCUAACAGCCCAUCAGUGACCUAAAGAUUCUCUAGCUAGAGCUCAUUUGUGCACAAGGGUCACACUAUCUCGAUGUGAUAUUUGGCCUACCCUCGAAUCUCUCAGUUUGACAAAACCAUUUCAAAAUCAAGUUGGGUUUCCAAAAGCUCAUUUCAAAUCCAUUUCAAAAGUACCAACCAUGGUUACAUGAUAAAACCUCAUUUUGUAAGGCUUUGCAAUGUUAAACCUUUGCAUGAAGUUUAAAUAUCAAAUCAGCAUGGUGAAUAUAUAAUCUAUUCAUGGAUGCACAUCACACAACCAAUAAGGCACAUUUUAAUGUAAACUAUGUUAAAGAGCUUCUUUCCCGAUUUUAAAAACCCUUUACAUAAAUACCUUAUAUACAUAUAUUCAAAUCAAUUUCAAACAUCAUGGCAUCCACAAUUGCCUAGCACUUCUACCAGCUCAUGCUUUCCACAAAUUGCAUUUAAAGAAAAUCGACACGUCUAUUAAUCGUAUAUCAAAUAUAUAGUAUGGAAAUUUUGAAAUAGACACCCCUACUCACCUUACAAUAGUGGGAUACUACGUCGCUAUUGAUUCGGGUACGUAUCUAGCUAAUUCUACUCGCUGGUCACCCGUUACCUCUUUCGGCAUGCCACCACAGCAAAUUUCCCUUUAUCACACACUUCCUAGCAACCAUUCAAACCCAAUACACUUAAUUGUACUCAUACAUGGCAGCAUAUAGACCAAUAAUCCUUAACCAAACCUCAUAGUUUUCAUCAACAUUAUUCACAAUUAUUUAACAUACAAUCCUUACACUUUAACCAACCAAAGCUUAUACAACGCAAUGUAGUCACUUUGCCUGCUUACCUCUUGGUUCAAGCUUGAAUUCUAAAUAUGAUUCACAACUUCCUCACAUCUUCUGUCACCAUUCCUCAGAUCUCAUCUUUUCUUUCUACUUGUAAUUUCAAGACUAAAACACUUAGCCAUUACUUAUUUAGCUCAAAAUCACCAUGCAUUCCAAGAUCUAUCUACAUGCAUGCAUCUGGUUCUUGUACUUCUUGAAAAUCCUUACUACCACAAAGAAAAUCUCACAUUAUAAUCAGUUCAAAAAGCACGCAUUCAAGCAAAAUAACAAUUUCUACCUUCCUUACCUUGGAACCUCUAAGUCGAACCACCAAAUCUCUUUAAACUUCAACAAUGGAAUGUGGGUGGGGAGGAAAACCUCUCGAUUUUCUCUAGCUCCUUGAAGCCGAUUAUCUUUCUUCCUUUCCUCUCUACUCUCCCUCUCCUCUCAAGUGAAAGCUUCACAAAGCCCUCUCCUCUCCAUUUCCCUUCAAAAUGGGCGGAUUUUUCAUGGAAACUCACUUGUUUUCUUUACAUUUUCCUUUUCUAGGCCGAGCCUUUCCUUACAUAUUUUUUUCCUUCUCUUUUCUCUCUUCCUCUCGGGUGGAGCUUCACAAGACCAAAUCUCCCAUCAUUUUCUCUAAAUGAUACGAUUUGGUCAAUGUUCUCCAAGACUUUGCCCAUCUUUCUCUUUUUUUUUUAUUCCUCAUUUCUUAUUGGACCAACCUAUCUCCCGCUCAAAUUUCAUGCCCCAAUUUUCUCCUUUGCUCAUUGGUCCAAAAUCUAUCCUAAUUUUGCUUCUCCAUCUGCCACCUUCACCUUCCCAUUUUUUCAUUCUUCAUUCUUUAUUUCAUGCACCACCUUAUUCCUCCAAUCACAUUUCAUGCACAAACUUUACCUUAUAUUUUAUUUGGUCAUUUAUUCAACCAUUCAAGUCACAUGCAUCCCACCUUUUACCUUCCUCAUUUGGCCACCUUAUGCACCAAUCUCAUUACAUGCAAUUAACUUAGUCUUAUUCUUCCUUUUACUUCACAUGGUAGGGGUCCCACAUGUCCCCCACUAAUUUUUCCUUUUUGCUUGCUAUAAUUUGCAUGUAAUAGUGAAUUCACAUGUACAUCUCCUAUUCCACAUAAUCUAACUUUCCUUGGUUAGUAAAUUCACAAUUAACUUUAAAUUUUUAAAAUUGCACAUAAGUCCUCAAACUUUUCCUUAUUUACCAUGUGCUCCUCCAAACUUUUCAUCCUUUACAAUUUGGUCCUUCCAACAUUUCUUUAAUCCCAAUUUCCUCCUAUUUUCCUUCCUUUACAUGUGUGCAAACAAAAUAUAAAAUUUACACUUCACCACGGUAUCACCAUAAUAUUUAAAUAUAUACUUACUCGCUUUUACUCUAUUUAAUAAAGGCAUGCGGGUCCCACUAAUACCGUUUUUCUUCCAAAUUCUUUCUUACUUCUUCUCCCCCACUUAGAUUAUUCACAUAGUCCUCCUCCAUUACUAAUCUCAACAAUGAAUAAAAUAUUAAUAUUUUAUUGAUAUGUUCUUACUAAAAUAUUAUUUUAUUCCAAAAUAUUAUUUUUACCGAAUAUUGCUCUUUGGCACUUAAAUUUAUAUCAAUUGACCCUUUGUCUUAUCGAUAAGGUCUUAUUGGCUUCUAUAUGAGGGUACGGGGUGUUCCAUUGAUUAUCAUAUAUGCAAGGUUAUACUUAAGGAUAAAUAAUUUAGAACCAUUCCAAAAUAAAAUGAGAUGUAAUGUAAAUAUAUAAAUAUAUAUAGAUAUAUAUAUAAGCUAAGCAUCUCAUGCUAGCAAAGUAUAAAUCUAUGUUUCCCAAACAUAAAAUAAAAUAUUUAGCUAUAGGCCUAAAACCAAAACAUCUUAUCUUAGUAAUCAUGCCAUGAAAACAUUCAAUGUUCUAAAAUUUUUUAUUAUUCCACAAUCUAAUUUAGGUCGACAAGCUUGACCACCAUCAACUAAGGUUGUCACCUUCAUGGUCCUAUGUUUCACUGCUCCUUGUCAUUAGUUCCUUCAAUGUGUCAUACAUAUUAAAACCAUUAAUAAAGAGUAAGGUAUCAUAUACCAAGUAGUGAAAAAUCACCAUAUGAUUCAUACUUGAUUUGGAAACUUCCUUUUGUUUCUUCCCUUUGAUGGAUUCAAGAUAAUCCUUGCAAUUGCGCCUCUAAUGCCCUAAUUUGUCAUAGAAAUAGCAUUUGUCAUUGUCCUUGUCCUUCUUCACUCCUUUAGUAGGCUUCAUACCUUUCAAAGUUGAUGCCUUUUCAUCGUUGUCUUUCUUAGAAAAUUUUCCUUUCUUAUUUUUAUUUUUCUUAGAAUAGACAACAUGAACUAAAGGUUCCUCCUUUGCAAUGGUGUUCUCAGCUUAUGUUAGCAUAUUCAAUAAGCCCGAAAGGGUUACCUUAAUCUUGUUCAUGUUGAAGUUCAACAUAAAUUGUGAAUAGCUCUCUUGUAGUGAAGAAAGUAUAAGGUCAAUGCCUAAAUCAUGAUCCAUAACCCAACCCCACUACUCAAGUCCAGUGAUAUCCUAUCACAACCCGGAACCUCCCUCGGCCCAUGACAACCCCGCGACGUCCCAAUUGACACUCAUUAUCCGAAAUGCCAAUUGGAACCCCGCAAGGCUAACGAAUUAGUUUCUUGCCUUUUCUGUGAGCAAUCGUUGUUAAAUAUAGAGUUUUAAAAAAAUAUAAACUAUUUUAGAUCGAAAACAAUCAAAAUAAAAUUUUCGCCACAUAGGAGUAUUUUGGUCAUUUUUACCAAAAAAUUUCGAAACCUAAUAAAGAUACAACGUAUGGUAGAAAAAUAUCCACUACCAAUUAAAAAUAAAUUUUUGUAAUCUAAAUCAUUCAUUUAGAGUGAAAAGUUAGCUAAUUAAACUAAAUAAAAAUAUUUGAUAAUAUAUUUCAUUUUCUUAUAAAAUAAUUUUUAUAGAACUAUACAUAAAUAAUUUUUGUAGCGUGAGAAUAAAAUAAAUUCAUACAUACAAUAAUUUACAAAGUUAUAAUGUACAAUAAUAAUUAUAAUGACAAGUGGCCCAUAAAUACACCCAAUAUUGGUGAUAAUAACCUAUUGUUUGUGGGAUAGAGGGGUCAACUGGAAUCCUCGACAAAAUCGGAUAUCUACAAGCUACCACAGGCCUGAAAUGUUUGGAAAGGAGGUGGGUGAGAUUUUGAAAUCCUAAUGAGUAAACAGACAUUAUCAUAAAUAUCUAAAGGCGAGUAAAAUGGAUGCAAGUUUAAACAACAAAUCACAAACCAUUUCAUAAGGUUUUCAAUUUCUUUCUUAAACCAUAAAACAUUUGUUAUUUACCAAAACAGUUGUCAAGGCGUAUAACCUUUAUUAAAAACAUGGCUCAAGCCAAAAUCUAGUCCUCGGGGAUACCUUGGACAAGGCAUCUAACCGAGUCCGCCAAGGUUGUUAAGAUAUUUACAUGUUAAACACAUUCUAGUUUUGAAAACAAGUCGUUCCUUGGCGUCGGUCGAGUUACACAUUCACGUGGGGGUUCGACGUGAAGUGAACUCUAACACUACCCCGGGAGUUACCCUCCUCACCUCUACAACUAGAGUAACUAUGAAAUCGAGUUUACCGUGCCCCUCUAAUAGGCAGUCCAUGAAAACCCGUCACUGCAGUGACUAACCCACCAAUUUUAAUAAAAUUUCGACAGUAUAACGUGGCUUUUAUUUAUUUACCCAGCCUGCAUAGUAAAAAUAGCUUACAUUUAUUCCCAAGGCAAUUAUAAAAUAUAGCCACAUAUACUCAUAUAUCAUAAGCCAUUCAUAGUAAAAUAUAUAUAUUUCAAAAUAAUUGACAGCCUCCAAUUACUCAAUUUCAUAAUCAACACAGUAUAUUAUUAUUUGUCACAUUUAUUUCUAAAACAUCAAAAAUCCCAUUUUAAUCUCAUUUUGAUUUCAUAAAAUCCAUGAAGAGUAUUUAAAAAUAAACUCUAGAUAAUUUACAAUAAUAAUAGGUUUACUCACCGUUUGUACAGAUGAAAUGCUUCCUAGGUGCCCCGAUCACUGUUGGUUGGGUACGACUUCCUUGUCUUUACCGGAAGGCUCUCCUCCUAGACACAUUGUAAAAUUUACCCAAUUCACCACAUUGAUGCUAAAUCACUAUAUAAUUGACUUAAAUCCUAUACUAAUGCAUGGUAUGAAAUGCAAUAGCCUAAAACGGCUUAAACGAGGUAUUAACCUAUUUUUGGCACUUUACCCGAUAAAUUGCUAACGCGCUCCAUUUUAGCUCUAAAUCGUCCCAUUCUCUCUCCAACAUUUCUAACCAUUAAAUAUCAGCCAAUAACCUUCUAAAAUCACCAAAAUCAGUUCACUUUCCUCCUUGGAAAAUUCGGCCAAAAAUGGGACAUUAACUCGGUAAAUUUUCUACUUUGUUUUUCUAUCACAUUUAACCAUUUUUCAUCAUUUUCUCUUCAUUUCUCUUAGAACAAAUCAGAUCAUCAUCAUCGUACCUCAUUGCAGAUUUGGCCAAGGGUGGGUAUUGUGAAAAUUUAAUGCUUUCUUGCCCAAUUUUUUUUCUAAACACAUUUAAUUAACUAAAACUAUCAAUUUAACUAAAAAUCAAAACCUAAAAAUUUCAAUUUCUCCCCCCUUGAAAUUCAGCCAGCCCUUGAUGUCACUUUUAGAUCUCUCUCCUCAAGCAUGCUAAAUGGAAAUAAAGGCAUAGGAAAGGUAGAAAUCAAGCGAAAGUCGAAAAAUCUUACCGUUAGACGCGUAAACGAGCGAAAAACGUGAAUUCCCCUUUGAAUUUUCUUGUUUCUCUUUGAUUUUUCUCUUUUCUUCCUUUCCUCUCUAUUUUCUCUCUUGUUCUUUCCUUAUGGCCGGCCAGCACUUAGUAUGGGGUUUAAAUGUGCUGAUUUUCUAUUAAAAUAGUAUUAAACAAUUAAAAAGUGCCAUGUGUCACUUUUCCAUUGGCCCAUUUUUAAAAUUUCAUCCAUUUGUUUCCAAAUUUUUACCAUACACUUGUCCCACAUAUCCAUCGCUUAGAUAAAAUUCUCAGACUUAUCCAAAGUCUUGGUGGAGUAAUUUUUGAAAUUUACACUUUUGCCCCCGUAAAAGUGAGAAAUUACAUUUUGGCCUAAAAACUGAAAAAUUGCCCAUAGACAUAUUUUUCAUCCCUUAUACUCAUAUCAUUCUCCAAUUUGUCAAAUUUGAUCUAAAUUCUCUCAAAAUCUCAAAUUUUGUCUGCGGGUGGCAAAAUUACGAUUUUGCCCCUACACUCCAAAAAUCACCAGAAUUAAACUUUUUCACUUCCUAUCAUUAAAUUAUACUCCAAAUAGUUAAUCUUGGUCAACAAUUUCACUCCAUGAUCAAAUUAUUAUCUUAGGUGGCAAAAUGACGAUUUUGCCCCUAAACAUCAAAAUUUCCAAUUUUACCCCAAAUGAACUCUCGAACUCCGAACAUUCAUUUUUAGUCAUUCCUGGACUAUAAAAUAUUAAAUUUCAUCCUACAAUUCCUAUUUAAACUAGUUCGAGGUUAAAUCAACUCAAGUGUACCGUUAGGUACAUUAUCGGGUUUCGUCUAUUCUUAGGUGCUUUCCUAGCAUAAUAACAUGUUACUUAGUGCAUGUAUGUCAUGACAUGUGUUUAUAGGGUCGGGUUUUACAUAUCCUACCAUUUUAAGCACAUGAGGCCUUACUAGGCUUCCCUCAGAUAUCGUACAUUGGAACAAUUCCUUUGAAAUGUCGAAUCUCUUUGUGCAACUUUCCUUAUCGAACAUUUCUCUAAGGUUUAGGAUAAUAUCCAAAGCAUUCAUAGCUUCAUGUUGCUUUUGAAGAUCUGGAGCCUUACUAGCCACCAUCACACAUGUGGCUUGAUCGAGAUCAACCAUAUAAACUCUAUAGGCCUCAUUUUCAUCAUUUGUAGCAUCAUCGCUAGGUUCCUCAAGAACAAGACCAUCUAGGACAUAAGCCUUUUUCUCUUGUUUCAAAACAAUCUUGAUAUUGCGAAACCAGUCAAUGAAAUUUGGGCCUAUCAACUUGUUUGCAUCAAGUAUGCUUCUAAGUGACAAACUAUUCACCAUGAUAUGACUAUUACUCAUUAACGCAAACUAUAUAAUCAUAAAGACAAGGUUUUAAAUAUUAUAUGACUAUUCUCGAUAUUUUAUCAAAAUAAUAGCCUUCUUCUACUAUUUCAAGAAAUUUAACCAUCAAACUUUUUGUUGAGCUGGGAUCCUUUUCAUCCCACCAUGACCUUGAGUGACUCAACAAGCUACAAUGAAACUAAUUAGGUAGGUAACUUAGCUUACCAAUUGUAUCUUACAUAACUCCUAGAUCAGUUAGGUGACAACUCCUUGUCUAAAUGUAUCAUAUACAUUUUCUCUAACUAUGCCUCUAACACCAUGCGAUCAUGUGUGACACAUCCGAACAACAUGGUACUAGUUGAGUAAGGCCCACCAAUAAUUCAAACAUACUCAUGGAAAAGUUUGACCUUGAGUGACUUAACAAGCCUCUAAUUAAAAGAGUAGCCUGGUUAUCUUGUUAUAUAGUGGAAGGUAAGUUUUUGACUUGAUAUAUUAAUGAGGGAUUUUUAUUUAUUAAUUCAUUAAUUAAGGUCUUAUUGAUUUGGUGUUGUUGACAUGCAUGGCAUUUAUAGCGUUUCACAUAUAUCAUAUAUAUAUAUAUUUACUGAAAAAUAAAUCUAUCUCAUGCUAGCUACUAGGAUAAUUAUGGACGUUACUAAUUCUAAUUUCCUUGAGCCAUUAAGGAAAUUAGUUGGUUAAAUUCCUAGGGGAUUUAUACAAACAUCAUCUUCAAGCUUCGCUUGUAACCUCCUUGAAUCUCCAUGGCGCCUUCGAAUCUCCAUCUUCAAGUUAAAAAAAAUUUUCUAUUUAACCCUAGUUUUACACUUUGAUGCAACUAAUUACAUUUUAUAAUCAAGAAACCUCGAGUUACAUUCAAUGGGAGUUAGGUGAGAAAAGAAUUUUACAACCUAGAGAAAAUAGAGAUAAGGCAAGAUAUGCAAACCCUAUUUUAAAAUAAAUACCAUGAGAAAUAAAUUUAACCAUCCAUGACCUAAUCUUCUAAGGUCUAAGUUGUAACACCCUAUACCAUCAUAUAGAAGUCAAUAAGACCUUAUCAAUAAGAUGAAGAGUCAAUUAACCUAAAUUUAAGUGCCAAAGAGUGAUGACGGGUGAAAAUAAUGUUUUAGAAUAAAAUAAUUUUUUUUAAUAAAAUAGUAUUAAAGUUAUUAAUAUUUUAUUUAUUGCAAAAAUUAGUCAUGAUGGAGGACUAUAUGACUAGUCCAUGUGGGGGACAAGAAGUAAGAAAGAAUUUUAAAGAAAAAUGACGUUAGUGGGGCCACGUGUCUGUAUUAAAUAAAGCUAGAGCGGGUAAAUAUAUAUUUAAAUAUUAUGGUGUUACCCUUGUGAAGUGCAAAUUUUAUAUUUUGUGUGUAAAUGUGUAAAGGAAAGGAAAAUAGGAGGAAAUUGGAAUUAAAGAAAUGUUGGAAGGACCAAAUUGUGAAGGAUGAAAAGUUUGGAAAGGCACAUUGUAAAUAAGGAAAAGUGUGAGGACUUAUGUGCAAUUUCAACUUUUGAGGUUAAAUGUGAAUUACUAACCAAGGGAAGUUAUAUUAUGUGGGAUAUGAGAUGUACAUCUGAAUUCACUAUUACAUGCAAAUUAUAGCAUGCAAAAAGGAGAAGUCAGUGGGGAACAUGUGAUACCCCCACCAUGUGAAGAAAAAUGAAGAAUAAAGACUAAGCUUGUUUGCAUGUAAUGAGAUUGGUGCAUUAGGUGGCCAAAUGAGGAAAGUAAAAUGUGGGAUGCAUGUGACUUGAAUUGUCUAAUAAAUGACCAAUUAAAAUACAAAGUGAAGCUUGUGCAUGAAAUGGGAUUGGAGGAAUAAGGUGGCAAAUGAAAUAAACCAAAAAGAAUACCAUGUGAAUCAAUGCAUGUGCAAAGUAAUUUAGUCAAAGCAUAAAGGAAUGGACAAGGAAAACCUUGCAUGAAAAAUCCAUUAAUGAAAAGUGGAGUUAAUAACCAAGAGAGGAGUUGAAUGGCAUGACAUGUAAAAAGAAAUGAAAAGAAAUAAUAGAAAAAGGAAGUGACUUUGGGCAAUUCACCCACAACAAAGUAAAAAGAGAAAGGAAGAAAGGAGAAAGAAAGAAAAGAGAAAGAAAGAAAGGAGAAAGAAGAAAAAGAGAAAGGAAGGUUCGGCUUUGUCACAACCCAAAUUUUUCGGUCAUGACCGGUGCAAGGGCCCAAUGGGUUCAGCCCACAAAGCCCAAGCAAGCCUCUUUAUAGAAUCUUAUACAUUAAUCCAUACUCAUUUAAAAUUCAAAAUUUAUAGCGUUCAAAUAUAGUUCCUUUGAAAGCAAUUCAUAAACCCUAACUAUGCAUUCAGAAUGGCAUCAUCAACCAUAAUACGCAUAUAUAGUUUGACAAAUGAAUCUCAUCGUUUCACGACAAGUAUUCAUAUACACUUAAUUGGAGCUUGACCGUCAGCGGAGUGACUCUGGACACGGUUGCUAACAUUUAAUGUCAUCGUAAACCUACCAAGCAAUGGAUAAGGAGGAACACCUCGUCCUAGGAUCCAACCACCUUUGAC
rnacentral:lncRNA from 1 species